rnacentral:lncRNA from 1 species
AAAAAGAAGAAGAUAAAACUGCAAGCCAAGUGGAGCACGACCAAUUACUUAAAAGGCAUGUUUGUUUAACUUUAAGCAGCAACACUAUGGAGCACAACAGUCUCAACAGUGAGGCCAGGUCCGAACCCAAAGAGCACUCCCCACUCCAGUCCUUCUCCUGUGGUCUGAAGUCCAUCUUCCCUUGAUUUCUUCCUCAUCUCAUCCAAAAUGAAUAAAACACAAGCACUUGACAUGUUACCAUACUCUGAAAGAACGUGCCUUGUGGCUCGUAGCUUCUCUGGCUUCAGUGCUAACUUGGCUUCUACCUGGUCCAAUAUUGCUGGACCACCUGGAUGAGCAAUCCAAAAAAGGGAGUUCCAAUCGGAUAUGCCCAAUGGUUGAAAUGCUUCUACCAGGCUCUUCUCUAUAUUCUUCGAAAUAAGCCCCGGAACAUCCUUAAGAAGGUGAAAUGUAAGCCCAACUUCACGAAGGUGACCAUCAAUUGCACCAUCACUAUCUGGCAAGAUCGUUUGGGCUACUGAGACUAGUUCAAACAUGGGCUUCUCGAUUUCGGGCAUGGGGUCUGCCCCGAUUAUAACAGCUGCGGCACCAUCACCAAACAAUGCUUGGCCCACUAGACUGUCUAGGUGAGUGUCACUAGGUCCACGGAAGGUAACAGCAGUAAUCUCCGAGCACACAACAAGUACACGAGCACCUUUGUUGUUCUCAGCUAAGUCCUUAGCCACUCGGAGCACCGUCCCCCCUGCGAAGCAACCUUGUUGGUACAUCAUGAGGCGCUUAACGGAGGGGCGGAGGCCCAAAAGCUUGGUGAGCUGGUAGUCAGCCCCAGGCAUGUCCACACCACUAGUGGUGCAAAAGACAAGGUGGGUGAUCUUGGACUUGGGCUGGCCCCACUCCUUAAUGGCCUUGGUGGCUGCUUCUUUGCCUAGCUUUGGCACCUCAACUACCACCAUAUCUUGCCUAGCAUCCAGUGAAGGAGCCAUGUAUUCACAUACAUUGGGAUUCUCUUUCAAAAUCUCUUCUGUAAGGUACAUGUAUCGCUUCUUGAUCAUCGAUUUUUCACCUAAAUAAUCAAACACAAUAAACUUACUUUUAAUUCUCCCAACUUAGCAUAUAAGAGUGUUUUAACUGAUUUUUUAUCCAACUUCACUAGAUAUGGAAAAUAUCAGUUUAGGUCCCCCCUUCAAAUUCUCUGUCUCAUAAAAGCUUCAAUCGUCGGAAACUUUUAGGUGGGUCAUGGGCGGAAAUAAUGGAGUCUUAAGACCUUUAUAAGAUUCUCUUCUAAUAGUUUAUUUAAUAGUUUGUCUGACAAAUAUAUUUAUUUUAAAAAAUAUUAUAAAUAUUAGACUAUGCAGAUUUAUAAUUUGAAUAAAAAAUUUAUUUAAAAGUAUAUUUAUAAAAAAAUUUUAAAAAUUAUAAUUGAAAUGAUAAAAUUAUUUUUUAAAAAUUAUAGAGUUAUAAAUUAAAAUUUCAUAAAAAUACUAUAAUAUAAAAUAUGAAAGACAAAAUAAUUUCAAAUUAACAUUUAUUAUUGGUCCAAACAAUUAAUAUUUAUAUUGUUUAGUAUAAUACUUGGAACUAUCCAUAAUCCUUUCCAAUAUUUAAAUAGGAGGAUAAAUAUAUAGUAUUGUAAAAAAAUUAAAAAAAGUAUAAACUAGAACAUCUAACAACUUACUAAUAUUUGGAAAAAAAAACUUAUUAAUUCACUAGUAUAAAUUUCAAACUUCUGUUGGUAGAAAACGUGAAACUAAGGUUUGAGACAAAUUAAGUCUGUGGAGUUAUAUGAUUUAAAUAAAUGUGCUUUACAAGAAAUGAACCUAACAAACUUCAAUCUAGUUUCCUUGGAACCAGAAAAGAACUUUAAUCUAUUUUCAAGUCAUACUAUAUACGUAGCUAACUUCUUUUCCAUUAAAGUAUUUGCAUGAAAAUGAUAUGAGCCAUGCACAUCUAUCUUUCCCCUCUUUUAUUUUCAUGGCCGAAUCAUGUAUGAAACACAAAAUCACCUUAAGUUUGUAUAUAAGGUAAUUUAGCUUUUAGAUCAAAGUAAAAAACUUACACAUGCGCUUGAACUUCUCUUUCAACUCGGUCUUGUGCUCACUAUUUGUGAUACGGAAAUAGUAGUCAGGGUAUGUGCUCUGAUCAACACAAUUAGGCGGGGUUGAUGUGCCGAUGGCCAACACGGUGGCAGGGCCUUGGGCACGUUGAGCCUUACGAACUUCUUCCACGGUCACCAUUCUUUUUCGGAUGAUCAGAAACAGCCAAUGGUGGUGGGUGUGGAGUUGGACUGUUGGACUAAGCUGCUAUGCUAUGAAUGGUAAAAAGGAACAGAAGGUGUUGUUGACAGUCCAGAGUUUGGGCCUAUAAAUAAGAUAUAGGAGCUUGGGAGGGGGUAGUUGAGAGUCACGUGGUUGAGCAGAGCCAAGUCCACCUGGCUAGUUGUUAAGACUGGGUGGCACGUGACUUUGGUGCAUCCAUCUAAUUCUAGCCUCCACUCUUCUACCUCUCCAUCCUAUCCUCCACAUUUCUGUUGGUUUUCACUACAAAUGUUUAUGGGCAGAGUUGAGUGCGAGUUGAGUACAUGUUAUUAAUAUAUAUAUUUUAUGUUAAUUCAAACUUGAUCUAAUUUAAAUUAUGAGUUUAAAAUUUUAUCCAAUCCAUUCAUAUUUGUAAAUGGUUAAUGGAACCCAUUUUAGGUUUACUUAUAUUAUUUUUAAAAAAAUUUAAAUAAAUAUUUAUAUUAAUUUUAAUUAAAUAUUUAAUUAUUUUAUAUAUAGUCACCUUAAUAAUUUAUAAUGUUUAUAUAAUACUACUAUAAAUUUAAUUUUUAUGUAUUAUAAAUUACAUAAUAUAUUAAAAUAACAUAACAUAAAAUAUUACUAACUUAGAAACGGGUCAAACUAAAUUGAAUUCAGACCUUAAAUAUUCAGGUCUAAGUCUUUUUCUAAGUUAAUUUUUUAAACCUAAUAUUUUAAACCCUCACACAGAUUUAAACCAACAUUCGAAUUUCAACAAAUAAACCUACUCAUUAACAAUUACAGAUUUCACUUACCGCUUCAUCAUUUAAAACCUCAUUUCUACCAUAUAUAAGGACUGCACCACGUUCCCUCACAUCUGUCCGUACAUUUCAACUAAUUCUUCUAACUAUUAAAUAUAUUUUUAUUAUAUAUUUUUAAUAUUUUAAUAUAAUUUAGAUGGUCAAACCAACUUAAAAAAUGGUCUAAAAUUGAGAUGGUUUGAAAAUAAAAUUAUGCUCCCUAGGUUUUAGGUAAAAUAAAAAUUAUUUAAAAUAUGAAUUAAGCUUGGAUUCAAAUAUUAUAUAUAUUUUGUUAAAAUAAAGAUAUUUUAUAUAAUAUAAUUAAAAGUACAUCUAAUAUGUAAUAUUUAUGAUUAUAUAAUGAAAUAAUAUUUGAUAUAUUGUCAGUGGAGUUUUUAGAUUCCAUAAGUAGGGUUAAGAGAUUGACAAGUGUCCUAUAGGGGUAUAGUAAAAUAUAUUUUAAAAAAUAAAUAUUUUAAAAAAAGAGACAUGACAAUUUUUUAAAACUACUAGUAGAAUAAAAAAAAUUACAUUGUUAGUGUACUAAAUACUAAACCCUUAUAUAAUAUGAAUGUUAUAAAUUAAUUUUAUUUUUUUGAAAGUAACAUAAUUAAUAUUAUAAUAUAUGAAAAUUCUUGUCAUAACCCGAAAACCGGGUUAGAAGAAAUUGAGUUAGUGAAACCAAGACUGGUCACGUCGUGAUUUUUAGUUAUGAUUGUGGAAGUGUUAUCAAGUAAAUUGAUUUGUUUUAGUGGAUAAGUGCUUUGGAUAUAUGUUUGAGGUCUUGUGUUCAAAUUGUUUUUUUAUUUAUUUAUUUUUCUAUUUUUGUUCUUAUUUCUAUCUCAGCAUAUCUUAUUUAUAUUUAAUUUUUGCUCAAUUGUUAAUAAGAAUGAGUUUGUUAGUUUUGUGGUAGUACUUCAACUUAUUUUUUGGUAUUGUAUUCAAAUCCUUGUGCGUGUGAAAUGAAAAUAUUUUUGCUCCUAUUUACUGUGCCGUUAUUUUGUCAAAAAAUUAGUUAAAUUUAUAUUUUAAGGAAAAAUAUGAUAAAUUAGAAUUUUGUUUUAUUAUAUUAUAUUUUAUCUUUAAAUUUUGAAAAAAAAUUGGUUUCCAAAAGUAUCUUUCACCUUCUCACGUUACUCUACCACACCCCCCACUUUUGCCUUUUGCCUUUUGUUUUUAUUUUAUUUUAUUUAUUAUUAUUUUAUUUCUCUUUCUAUUCUAUUCUCCCUAAUUCCCACGUUUUGCUCCUUGUUUCUAUUUCUAUUUCUUUUACAUUUUUCUUUUGUUGUUCCUUCUUUGUUUUGUUUUUGUUACAUAUAUUGUAACUAUCUAAAAGUCAGAAGUGUAGGGUAACGUACUUCAGGGAUCCCGUUUCUGUGAAUUGAGUUUAUAAUUAAUUUCAUUAAAUACUUUUUUAGAAUUUGCCUUAGGAGGGAAUUGUGUGAUAGUUAGAUAAUUCUAAGUAUUAAGUGUUUGAUUAAAGUAGGGGAAUUAAAUCCAAUAAGUGAUAAAAAUAAGAAUUUAAAUUAAAUUAUAAGGUGGAUCAAUAUCAAGGGACUUAUUAAGUAAAUAAGCCAUUAAUUAUAUUAGUGUAUGAUGGUGGACGGUUUUAAUCUAUUUUAUUAGUAUUUUACAUCUGUGUUAUGUUAGAAUAUUAGUUAAGUUAAAAAUUAAUAUGAAAGGUUAUAUUUUAUUAAUAAAAAUAGAUGAGAGAUAUAGUUAGUGGGGAGAAGAAAAUUAAGCAAUAGUUUUUUUUUUCUUCUUUUCGAAACCAUAAGGAAAGGGAAGAAGGGGUUGUUCGGCCAAGAAGCUAUAACGCAUGUUUAAAUUGGUAAGUGAAAUUUGGUUAUUUUUGCAUGAAAUUUAUGUUUUCUAUGUUUUAAUGUUAUGAGUUAGUUUUCAUGUUGAAAUUUUGAGAGUGAAUGAAAAUUAUGGAAGUUACAAUGGAUGAGAAAUUUAAAGGUUUGGUGUUAUUUUGUUGAAUUUUAAAAGUUCUUGAGGUGAUGAUUAAAGUAUAAGUCUUGUAGGCUAAUUUGGUCAAAUUGUGUGGUGAUUUUUGUUGAUAAUAAUUUCUAAGGACUUAAAAUUUGUAAAUUCAAAAUAACAUGGUUUAAGUUGUGAUUUUUAGUAGUUAAAUGAAUGCUGGAAAAUAGUUUAUAUUUUUUGAAUGCAAAGAUGUGAAAUUUGUUCAUAGGGGUUAAAUGUUUGAGUAUAAAUAUUCUUGGUGGUUGGAUUAUUAAAUUUAAAUUAUUGUCUUUAGAUAAAAAAUCAGAAUGGAUCAAUAGCUAAUCACAGAAAGGAAAAGGCUAUCGCGUGAUUGUUUUCGAUUUUAGUAUCUUCCGUAAUUCUAUAAGUUCAUAAUCUUGAAUUUAACCUUUUUAUCUGUUUAUUUAAUUAUUAAUAGAUGUUAUUUAAAUACUUGAUAUGCAAUAUUAUGUUUAUAUUUGAAUGAAGAUGAUAUUCAAUGAAUGAGGAAAUUGUGUAGUGAAAUAAUAACAAUUUAUUGGUUAAUCCAACUAGAGCUGGCCUCAUUAUUUAAUUUUUCGAUUCAUUCGACUAGCGCUCGGCGCAAAUCCCGUUGGUAUAUCCAACUAGAGCUGGGCUCAUUAUGUAUUUGCCAGUUUAUCUGACUAGCGCCAGGUGCAACAUCCGUCAAUUUAAUUGACUAGUGCUUGGCACACAUUUGUCGGUUCAUUCGACUAGCGCUGGGCACAAACUCUUUCGCGAUUAUUCCGCUAGGCACCGAGUGCCGUGUAUUAAUUGGACUAUACCACCAAGUUAUAUGAACCAUUGAAGAAGGUUGUUACAGGUAUUAUUAAGGAAGGAUUAUAUUUACUUAUGUGUUUAUGUAUUCAUUGGAAGAUAUGUUAUAUUUCUUGACUUAGAUUAUUAAUGUUAUAAAAAUAAGUUCAAAUGUUUUAGAUAUAUUUGAGGUUAUUCAAAUAAGUGAAAUCUAAUUAAUGUGAAUAGGUUCUCAUGUUUACAGGUUAGGUAUAUAGUGUACUUGGACUCAGACUCCUACAAGAAUCCUGUACUCGACGUCGGUGAUGUUCUUUUUUGUGUUUUUGGCAUGUACCUAGGGGGUAUCAAUUGGUUUGAAUCUUUGGUUUAUAGAUAGUUGUAUAGGAUGUUUGUAGUAGUGUUUCGUGAAUAUGUAAAUGGUAUUUUAGUAUGUUAGUAUCUUGAUGUUAAGAGUGCUUGUUUAGGUAAGACCUUUUGAUCACUUUUGUGAAUUGUAGUGCAUGGCAUUUUAAUGUAAGAUGUUGCCUUGGAAAUGGUCAAUUAUGAUGGUAUUAGGCACAUAAUAGAAUGAAGUCUUUAUUCAUGGAAAUAGGUAAUGUUCACAUGUUUUGGUAAAUGUGGUGUUGUUAUAAUUGUGGUGCCUAUUGCCUGUGUUCUUCGAACGUUAAUGUAGUACUUGUGUAGUCAACUCGAUGAAAGCAUACAUUUAACAAUCUUUAACUUGUUUCCUUUCUAACCCAAUGAACUAACCUACUUAAUGUUGAAAACCAUGAGUCAUUCAUAUAUCUUUCUAGAAUGGCAUGUUUAACUGAACUCUCCUAUUUAUGAUGUUCUGAAUUAAUUCCUUGUAUGAAGCAUGCUCAAGUACACUUCUAUUUUCCUUAUUUCUUUUUCCUUGCAUGUUUGUUUUGUUUCCUUGCGAACAACCAACAAGUAAUUAGGUUCUUUAUUGUAGUUAAUAAGCCUUUUUUUGAGUAAUUUGAUUACAUUACUAUUAAUUUCUAGUUUUAGCAUUUUUUGCUCGAUUUCAAUAGAAUAAGUGUCUUUACACAUUGUUAGGUGUUUUAAUGACCUGCUAGGCCAAUCAAGGCUUAGGGAGAAACCAAUGGGUUAAUUGAGUGUGCAAGACACCAUUUUAGGCCAUGGAAUUUGAAGAACGAUCCCAAUGUCGCGACAUUCAUUAGUGGUAAAUAUCGGUUAGGUGAUUUCAUUGAAUUAGAACUUAAAUUAAGAUACAGGGACUUAAUUGCUUAAGUGAAAAAAGUAUAAUAGUUAUUAAACUAUAAACUAAUUUAUAAUUAAAGGACUUGAAAAAACAAUUAUACCCUUAUUGUUUAAUUAAGUGGACGGUCAUAUCAUAUUUAUAUGUAUGUAAUAUAUAUUAUGUUUAUGUUAACUAUAAUAUAAAUAUUAUAUUAAACUACUAUAAAUAAAAUAAAAUAAAGAUGAAUAAUAGAUGGUGGAUAGGAAGAGAAGCUUAAAAAUUCAUUUUCAAUUUGUUUCAAUUUAGAAACAAGAAAAGCUUGGGAGGAGAAGAGAAACAAACAGCCUAGGGCUGAAAGUUUCAAGUUAAUUUGGUUCGUAUAUUUUGAUCCUUUUUACUUAAAUUUUAUAUAUUUGGAACCUUAAGAUCAUGAACUAGCUUACCCAUGUUGGAAUUUUUAGAAUUUAUGAUGAUUGUGGAAGUUUCCAUUGUAGAAAAUUUCAAGUUCUUGGUGUUAUUUUGAUGGAUUUUAAAGUUUAGGGACUUAUUUAUGAAAAUGGUAAAUUCUAGGAUUAUAUUUGAAUUGAUUAAAAGUAUGAAUUGUUUUGGACUUUGAGGAAAACCAGUUAACAUGGGAUUUGUUUGAUUGUAACUAAAUAGCAUGUUUUGGAAUUGAGGAUUAAAUUGUAUUGAAGGUUAAUGUCGAGUGUAAAUAUGUGAAAUAUGGUUAAAGGGUUAAUGGUUUUAGUAAAUGUUUCUUGGUGAGUAAAUAAAUUAAAUUAAUUAUGUGGUAAAUUUUAGAUCGAGAAACGAAAGGAUUAGUUGGUAAUCAUGGAAAGGAGAAUGUUUUCGAGUAAUCGUCAUCGACCUUAAUAGCCCUCACAAUAUGGUAAGUUCGUAGUCCUUGACUCGAACUCUUUAUUUAAUUUAAUUAAUUUAGUCAUAUUUGAUAUCAAAUUAUAUCCAUUAAUAUAAUUGGUUAAUUCUUUUAGAUGGAAUACUAUGGAAUAAGAUUUGAAUGUAUAUGAAUUAGAUCAAAAAUAUUUUCAUUAUUAUUGUUGUGGUUGAUUAAAUUAUAGAAUAUGGUUUUGAGGAUUUAAUUCUUGGUGAGCACAACUAUUGUCAGUUAUCCGACUAGCGUUGGACACAAUAAUUUGUUGACUCAUUCAACUAGUGUCGGGCACAACUAUCAUAGGUUAUUUAACCAGCGCUGGGCGCAAUAAUUUGUCGACUUGUUCGACUAGUGAUGGGCACAACUAUCAUCAGUUAUCUAACUAGCGCUGGACACAAUUUGUUGACUUGUUCGACUAGUCCUAGACACAAAAAUGAUCUUGUCGAGUUAAACAACGAGCGCUGGGUGCAAAACCUUAUGUACGAUCUAACCGUUAGACAUCGGAUGUCAUUUAGUGGAUUAUACAUUUCGGUAAGGUAUGAUAAUUCAUGAGAGGAUAUUUGUAUAUAAAUGAUGUUAUAAAUAUGUUUAAUAGGAAUUAUGGUUUCUUUAUAGAGAUGACUUAUAUAUUAUGAAAUGUAAACUUUUGUUUAAUAGUUGUAAAGGGGAUCCUUUGAGAACAUGGGUUACUUACUGUUGGUGAUGUAUUUUCUUUUCGAGUCUUGGCAUGUACUUAGGAGGUCAAUUUUGAAAUAAUGAUAUUUUGUUUUUAGUGAAUUCUAAUGAAUGUAGUCCUAUAAGUUAUGAAUGAUGUGCAACUUAGAACAUAGUUGUAUCUAAAUGCUUGAAGUUGUUCAUGUAAAUGCUUUCACUUGGUGAUUGUUCUAGUAAAUUGCUCACUUUGGUAUUAUAUUAAUGAUGUAUUUGAGUUAGUACUAGAAGAAAGUAUAUAUAUAAUUUUUCAUUUGGUUGAUGUUGAAUGUGAGUAAUUGGUUUGAGUGAUGGAUCUACUUAUCCAACUUAUUUAAAUAAUUAAACUUUGUUUGAGGUGCCUAUGAAUGGCAUAUUGGUUGGAUGAUGGAUGAAUAAAUUGUUGGUUUGUGUUGGAUGUUUAAAAUGUGGUGUCAAUGAGGGCACAUUGGUUAGACACUUAAGAUGGUUGUUUUAGAAUGUUUUGAGCAUGUUUAAAUGUGUUUCGAAUAAUUUUAAUGGUUGAUGAUUUGGUUGCUUAGUGUCCAAGAAAUCACAAAUUGGUAACCUUGAGUUUUAAGGUAAAUUUAGGUUCACAUGGCUUGGGACACGGGCUGCUACACAGUCGUGUGACCCAUAUGGUCUAUCCAUACAGUCAUGUGUCUUAUUAACUUUAGGAGCAAGUUUCACACGGCCAGCGACACGGCCAUGUGUCUUAAAAUAGUGAGUUACACUGAUGUAUUCACAGGUUGGGACACGGCCGUGUGUCUGGACUUCAAAUAUCCACACGAUCUAGGUUGUGACACACGGAUUGGCCACACACCCAUGUGUCUCAUGUUUCCAAAAUUUAAAAAUUUUUCCCAUCCUUUCCCAUUUUGUUUCGAAUUAACCUUAGAGUGUUUACAAUUUAUUUUUAGGGCCUUGUAAACUCGUUUUAAGGCCCGUAUGAGUAUGCUUAGUUAUUAUUGGUAUGUGAUUUGAUUUAUUAUCAUUAUGUUUGAAUAUUUUUGUUAAAAAGGAAAUGUUAAAAUUUUGAAUUAUUAUCGUAAUACUCUGUGACCCCAAUCCAGCAACGGAGACGGGUUAAGGGUGUUACAUUUAGUGGUAUCAGAACUACAUGUUUAGUUGAUUCUUGGACUAAAUCGAGCUCAAAAUUGAGUCUAGAGGUACAUGCCAAAGUUGAAUUGAAUUUGAGUUGGGAUUUGAUGCUGAUUAAUAUUAUUCUUAUUUUACAAGUUAAAAGAUGUCAGGUGAUACUAAUAACGUAGUUGACCAAGAAAUUCAUAUUGGUGAUGAAUUUAUUGGGGAUUUGAUGAAUUUGAAUCUGCAACACCGAGUGUUCAUGCUGAUGGUAUUCGACAACCAAAUACUAACAGAGGCCCAAAUAAAGGGCAAUGUGAAACUGAUAUAUUACGAGUCAUAGCAGAAGCUCUUCAGAAGGUAACAGGAGCUACUCCUCUGGCACUACCCACUCCUACAGUGAAACGAGCUCAUAUUAAGGAAUUGAGGAGAUAUGGUGCUACAGAAUUUGCUGGGUUAAAAUGAGUUGACCCGUCAACAGCUGAGUUAUGGUUGGAAUCAACGGCUAGGGUUCUUCAACAACUUGAAUGUAAUUCCUGAGAAAGUGUCAUUUGUGUUGUUUCGUUAUUGCAAGGUGAAGCCUAACUUGGUGGGAAAUUAUUACACGACACGUUCCUACAAAAGCUAUAGAUUAGAAAUUUUUUCAAGCAGAGUUUCAAAAGAAAUAUGUUGGGGAAUUAUAUCUCAAGGAUAGAAAACAAGAAUUUAUUUUGUUGAAGGAGAUUUAUCUGUGGUGGAUUAUGAACAAGAGUAUAUGCAACUCAGCAAGUAUGCUAUGGAACUCAUUCCUACUGAAAAAGCAAGUUGUAAGAGAUUUUUACGUGGAAUGCCAGGUGAAAUUAGAACUCAGUUAGUUGCAUUGACGAUUAAAGAGUUUGCGGAUUUAUCUAAGUGAGCAAAAAUGGUGGAAUAAUCUCUAGGAUUAAGCAAGAAAUUUGAACUUUCUUGGGUUACAGAAAACUAUUUUUGUACUCCCGAUUCAUGUUUUGUACAAAAGAAAAGUAAAGGGUCUUGGGAUUUUAGGAAGUCAGUUGCAAGAUCGACCACAUCAAAUAGAAUGCUAGACUGUCAACUGACAGUUUCUGUUGAUAGUGUAAAAGGGCCGAAUAAAAGUUCUAAAAUGUCGACCUGUGAGCAUUGUGGUAAGAAGCACUGGGGAAAAUGCUAGAUAUUGACAAAAGAUUGUUUCCGUUGUGGAUCAUUGGAGCAUUUCGCUAGAGAGUGUCCGAAGAACGAAAAUAAUACACCUAACGAUUCAUAGAAAGCUGCCUCCACAGUUAGGGGUCGAGGGACGAGUAAAGGUGGAUCAAUUUUGAAGGGUGGAUCAAGAAAAAGAAAUGAAAUAGUUGCUGAUCAGCCUGAGGCCAGCGCGCUAGCUUGUGCUUACGUGGUGCGAACACGUGAUGAGGGAGAUGCUACUGAUGUUGUAGCAGGUAUGUUUCCUGUUAUUCUCCAAUCCUGUCUAUACUUUAAUAGAUCCUAGUUCUUCUCAUCGUAUGUCAAUACUGAUGUGGUUAAGUUGUGGAAAAUGAAAUCUGAAAUGUCAAGAGUAGCUAUGUUUGUGUCAAGUCCAUUAGGCCAAACAAUGUUAGUCAAUCAAGUUUGUAAGCAAUGUCCAUUGAAAAUUCAAAAUUUGACCUUUCCAGUGGAUUUAUUAAUUAUGCCUUUUGGUGAUUUUAAUGUGAUUCUGGGUAUGGAUUGGUUAACCAAGCACGGGGUAGUUCUAGACUACUGGAAGAAAAACUUUUGGUUCAAGAUUCGAAUAGUGAGAUUAUAGAAGUUAAUUGUGUUAAAACGAGUGGUUCAAAUCAGGUUAACUCGUCGAUUCAAGCUAAUAAGUUGUUGAAAUAGGGUUGUGAAGCUUUUCUAGCUUAUGUUAUAAAUUUAAAAAAUGGGAAUAGUGAAAUUAGUAAUAUUCAAACUAUUUAUGAAUUCUCUGAUGUGUUCCCCGAGUAAUUGUUGGGAUUGCCACCUGAUCGAGAGGUUGAGUUUGCAAUUGAAGUGUUCCAGGUACAUCUCCAGUAUCGAUACCCCCUUAUCGUAUUGCACCAACUAAAAUGAAAGAAUUGAAAAUUCAACUACAAGACUUACUGGACCACAACUUUAUACGUUCCUUGGGGAGCUCCAGUUCUGUUCAUUAAAAAGAAAGAUGGCUCGAUGCGACUUUGUAUUGACUAUCAACAAUUGAAUAAGUUGACAAUUAAGAACCAAUACCCUUUUCCUUGUAUCGAUGACUUGUUCAAUCAACUGAAGGGGGCUUCAGUCUUUUCUAAGAUUUAUUUAAGAUCGGGUUACUAUUAGUUGAAAGUGAAAGAUAGUGACGUACUGAAAACUGCCUUCCGUACGUGUUAUGGCCACUGCAAAUUUUUAGUGAUGCCCUUCGGAUUAACGAAUGCUCCUGCGACAUUCAUGGAUCUCAUGAACCACAUUUUCCAACCUUACCUUGAUCAGUUUGUGGUAUUUUUUAUUGACGUUAUUUUGAUUUGUUCAAAAUCGGAAGUUCAGCAUGAACAACAUUUGCGUAUUGUUUUGCAAAUUUUGCGAGAAAAUCAAUUUUACAAGAAUUUCAGUAAAUGUGAAUUCUGGUUAACUGAAGUGGUAUUUUUUGGGCAUGUGAUAUCAGCUGAUAGAAUUUGAGUGGAUUUGAAAAUGAUUGAAGCAAUUAUUCAGUGGAAAACACCGAAAAAUGUGUUAGAAAUCCGUAGUUUCAUUGGCUUAGCUGGUUACUACCGAAGAUUCGUUAGUGGAUUUUCAAAAAUAGCUUUGCUAAUGAGAACGCUGUUGCAAAAAAAUGUACAAUUUGUUUGGAGCGAGCAAUGCCAAUAAAGCUUUGAGAAACUGAAACAGAUGUUGACUGAAGCACCAGUUUUAACUUUACCAGAAUCAGGAAAGGAUUUUAUGGUUUAUAGCGAUGCCUCGUUGAGUGGGUUAGGCUGUGUUUUGAUGCAAGAAGGUAAGGUAAUUGUGCAAGCGUCCCGAUAGUUAAAAUCUCAUGAAUGAAAUUAUCUGACACACGAUUUGGAGCUAGCUACUGUGGUUUUUGCUCUAAAAAUUUAGAGACACUACCUGUAUGGUGAAAAGUGUCAUAUUUUUACUAAUUAUAAAUGUCUUAAAUACCUCCUAACUCAAACGCAGUUAAAUUUAAUACAACUUCGUUGGGUCGAGCUUUUGAAAUAUUAUGACUGUGUUAUAGAUUACCACCUUGGAAACACGAAAAUAUACACACUUUUUUAUGCCCUUCUUAACUCAAAUUCACGCAGUUUAGGUAAAAUUCUUGUCGAAAAAUAUGUAAUUAUUAUAAAAUAAUUAUUUUGUACUUAAAUUAUUAAAAUGUUGAAUUUUAAUUAAUUUUAUAAUUAAUUUUUAUUAAUUUUGAUUAUUUUCAAUAGAUUUGCACAAAGGGCAAAAAACGGCCCGACAGACACUGCUAGAAGCACAAAACCGAGUAGCAAAUUUGAAGCAUCAAGGGGAAAUAAUUUUUCAGCAUAAGAUGAUCUAAAUUAUGUGUAUUAAUUCAUAAUAUAAUUAAUUUUAAUUUUAAUCCAAUUUAAUUUGGGUUAAAUAAAUUAUUAAUAAUUAAUUAUGAAAAGGGAUCCAAUUGAGUUGAACCGAGAAAACCCAACCAACUGAGCACUGCCGAAUAUCGUCCCACAUGCUGGCCCAAUCAGCUUGCAUGACUGAUUAUUUGGCUUGCAAAAUGGCCCUUAAAGACUUCUUCAAAUUGCAUUCAAACCCCUCCCCUAUUUGUGCCUUUCUAGAUUUGCCCCUACCUUAAUAUAGCAAGUUUGAAAACUUCAAACUUGCCAUAUGUGCGGUUGGCCAUAGGGGGACUCUAUGGCUGCUGAUUUUUGCUAAUUUUGUCAGCCAUCUUAACCUAUAGAUACCCCCAUUGGUUGCUCACUUCAAACACAUUUCAACUCUUCUCAUCUCAUCACUUCUCUCUCAUUUUUCUCUCUUUAUUUCCCUUCCAUUAUUCUUCAUUCCCUUGCUGAUUUCACCUAUUGAAAAAGAGUCAUUCAUCCACCAUUUGGAGCAGCAUUCAAGUGUUUGUAGAAGUCUCAGUUCGACAAGAACAAGCGAAGAAGGAGGAGUGGAGCAAACUAGUCAAGCCACAAAGAGAACACCAGAUUUGAUUCUUAUUCCCUACCCUUUUAAUUUUGUUGUUAUGAUGAACAUUGUAAUAGGCCCAAUUUGCCCGGCCCGAUAGUGAAAUAAAUCAAAUAAACAAAUGAAUAAAAUAAAUAAAAUUAAAAAUUAAAAGUCCAAUAAAAAUAGUCCAAUCCAAGUUAUUAACCCAUUAAGGCCUACUAAAAUUUAAACCCACUUUGCCUAGACCCUGGCCCAAUCACGAAGCAGCCCAACAAGAAAAAUCAAAAACGGAAAACCCCUAGGGUUUCCAAUUUUUUCAGCGCCGCAGCCAGCACGCUCCCCUCAGCCUCACGCACGCACCACUCAAGCGAGCCUCUAUACGCGCACGCCCGCGCACAUCCAUACGUGCCACGUCCUCGGCCCUGCACGCUGUACCUGCAAGAGAUGAACGAACGAGCAACAAAACAGACACCAACAGCACACAAAAGGAACAGAGAGAGAAAAUGAAAAGGACAAAACGGGGGUGAUUUGUUUUGAUUUUGUCAUUUUUAUUUUUUGUAAAUAGAGACUAUAAAAGACUAAGAAUAUGCUGUAACACUGACUUACGCAAUCAGAAUACAAAAACACCAAAAAGGUGAUUUCUGGUUUCCUUUUUCUUCUUUCGCAGUGUUUUUUUCUUCUUUCAUUUUUAUAUCUAUCAAUUAUUUUUGAAAAAGAUAACCAAAAGAGCAAGACGUACCUAGCCACCAGACCUUUUGCUCUUUCUUCGUCAUCAUCGGAGUUUGGGAGCAAGGUUCGAGGAGUCUCUAAAAGGGGGCGAUGAACCGUUGAGCGGUGCAUAAAAGGGGCCUAAGGUUUAACUUCCUUUUUCUUUUGUUUCUUUUUUAACAUUUGUUUUGAAAAUGAAAAGGGGGUUUUGCUGAUCAGGUUAAUGGGGUGCUUAUGUGCGUUGAAAGACGACGUCGUUCAGAAGCCUCCGACCCGCGUGGUGACUCGAUCCGGGGAGGAUCCGCGCGUCUUCUAGCAUUUGGGUAUAUUGCGCAAAAGGGCCCUUCUGCCCUUGCACGUUUCUAUAUCUGUCCUUUUUAUUUUUAAUUUUUUUUGCCCUGUGUUCUGAUAUGGCGUUAUUUCGGUCUGUGCAAAGACAUUGCGUUUUGGGGUACGAAAAAUAUUUCCCAUUUGGUCCCCAUGUUAUCCGCACGUCACGCUUUGACCCGCCAUGUUAUUCUAUUUUCGACAUUUUCCCUUCAAUUCUGUUUUAUUUCUAAUUUAAUCCCUAUUAAUUCAUCUUAAUAUUUUUUUCCAUAAAUUCGUUACUUAAUGUUAUAAAUCUUUUAAGUUUUAGAUAUCAUCUUAAUAUGAUUUAUACAUACCUUUUUGUUUGUUUUCGUUCAUGAACGCAUAUAUAUGUAAUAAAAUUUAAAAUUUUUAAUAAUAAUGCUUUUUAGUUUUAUAUAUAUAGGCAUAUAUAGUAUUUUUAGUAGUUUAUGUACGUAUGCAUAUAAUGAUGUAUUAUUAAUUUCAAAUGAUAUUUUCUUAUGCAUAAAAGCCUUAUUCCUUUUAAAUUUGUUAUUUUACUUGAUUUAUUUAACUUUUAUAUAUCAUUAUUAGGUAUAUACUAUUAAUUUUACUAAGUUUUAUUUAUAUAAAUUAGAAUGUAUAUAUUAACUUCAAGUUGUUCACUUUUAUUUUGCUACGUUAUUUAUUUAUUUCUUUAGUUUUUAAUCUUUUGUUAAAAUUCAUUCAAACCUUUUAUUUGUUUUCUUAGUUCUAUUACCAAAUUGAAUCAAACAUUCAUAUUACUUAUCGUUAUUAUUGUUUGUUUAAUUGAUUAUGAUUUUAUAGGUUGCUUAAUUUUUAAUAUGGAUGUUUGAAUGAUAUAAUUAGAGCUAAUGUUUGUAUUUGCCUAUUAUUUGUUAAAUUACCUCUAGUUUAAGCUUGGAUUGUUAUUUAUCUUUUACAUUAUAUGUAUCGUUGUUUAAUCAUGUUCUUUUUGUAAGUAUUGAUUUUUUUUAUUAAAGCUUCAUAAUCGUUUUAUUUCAUGAUCCUAAAAAAGGGGCUUGGCGUUCAUAAAUUCCCGAGAGAAUCGUGCCCUAACUUACUGGGCUUCGAUUCUUCUCGAUGAACUUGGAUAAUCAAGCGCCCAUUUUAUAAUAAAAAAAACCUUCAAUUAUUAAAAUAAAAUUCUCAAGAUUUCAAAAUGUUAGAUCCUAACUUACUGGAUAUGAGACUUUGUUAUCUCGAUUUUAAAAAAAAUAAAGGCAAUGUCGGUUGUUUAAGAAUUUCGAGAGAUCAAACCCUAACUUACUAGGUUCGAAUUUCUCAAUUGACUUAAAUAAUCGAAUCUCCUUUUUAAAUCACAUGAUUUUCUAAAAAAGGGAACAAAUCUAAUUUUAGAGAUUGAAUUGUUACACCCUAACUCACUGAGUGUGGCAACUUAUCUCUGCAAAACGAGUACAUCUUACUGCUCAACUUGGUUUAUUCAAAUUUGAAAUUAAAAAGGGUUGUAUUUUUUAAAAAUCUUUUCAAAGUUUCGACAUUAAGACAUCAAACAAUCAAUUCGGUACCAAUUUUGGGCGUCACGAGGGUGCUAACCCUUCCUCGUGAGUAAUCAACUCCCGAACCUGUUUUCUCAAAUCUCGCAGACCUAAAAUUUAUUUUAAUGGUGAACCAAUCUCACCUUAAUAAAACACCGGUGGCGGCUCCCACUUUUUUUUUAAAGGUCGAUCCCUGUUUUUCAAAUAAUAAAAUUGGUUUCGACAGCUUGGCGACUCCAUUGGGGAUGCCAAGAGAGUUAGGCUGUAAAAUUGAUUGUUUUGUCUUAUUGUCGAAAAUUAAAAUUGGGUUUUUAAAAUUUUACGAUCUUUUCUUUGCAUUUUUUUUGUAUGGUCAUUGUAAAUUGUGCUUUUAUACCUUGGCAUCAUAUUGCAUAAAGACUGUUUAGUCUUACCCUUUUUAAGUGGGAGUGAGAAGCUACUCCUUCGUGAGGUUUUCACCUUCGUGCAGGAUAGUGAAUCACUUUCGGGAGACAUCCGUACUUAUGUCUUCGUGAUAUUUUCAUCUCCGUGCAGCCAUAGGGAAAUGUAUUCCCUUGAACCGAACUCGGUUUGUAUGAGCCUAUAAUGGGUGAAGUUCGAGGAAUCCGUUGGUUUGGGUACCUUGACUAUUAGAACCAAACCGCAUAUAGAUAGCCUAGGAACCCAACCUAGGUAGAACUUCCCCAAACCCUAGGGAUUGCCCGUAUAAAUGCUUGUUUCUCUCGUAUUUGUUGCAAAUUUUGUUUAUAUAUUAUACUGAAUUAUGGUGUUUUUUUGCUAUGUUUGCAUGCCAUUUCAUAUUCAAAAGAGUGUCGAUUCAAGUUCGAUUGUUAAAUUAGGAAGUUUGUCAUGGAGAACGACUUUCUUGAUAAAGUGGAAGACAAUGCCAUUGUCCGUAUAUGGUCAAAGAAAGUACAAUUGGAAAAGGGAGACAGUCUAGCCAAGGAUUAUGUGUCAGAGCUGUGGGACUACACUCGUAUUAGUGUGACGCAAAAUAGCCUUCAGGAGCUAAAGGAAAUAUGGGAUAAGUGGAAUGACGAGACCAAGCAGUUGUUCUACUUUAAUUAUGGAGACUUGCCAUAUUUGCUUGACAUCAAGGUGGAUAAGCAAUUGUUUCGGGCCCUUGCUCAAUAUUGGAAUCCUGCAUAUAGUUGUUUCACUUUUGGCAAAGUAGAUCUGGUGCCUACGGUGGAGGAAUAUACGGCUUUACUGCAUUGUCCAAGGCUUCAGGUGGAUAAAGCAUAUUCUAAAGCCACGUAUGUCCUGGCAUUUUGGAAGAAACUGAUGAAUAUUACUGGCAUGAGCGAGCAGUGGAUCACAGCCAGGAUCAAGAAGAAAGGGGAGUGUAAAUGUAUUUCAUGGAGGAAUUUUCGAGACUUGAUCCUAGCAUAUCCUGAUGGGAAAAAGAAGGUCGAUGUGUUUGCUUUGAGUAUCUACGGGUUAGUGAUUUUCCCUAAAGUAUUAGGGCAUGUUGACGAAGCGGUUUCAGAUCUCUUUGAUCGAUUGGGUAAAGGGGUCACGCCUGUUCCUGCGAUUUUGGCUGAGACAUUUAGAUCUUUGAACGCGUGUAGGCGAGCUGGUGAAGGCAGAUUUAUAGGUUGUGCACAAUUUUUGAUAGCUUGGUUCCAUAGUCACUUUUAGAAGGUCGAAAAGGUUUCGUAUCGGGUUUUCUCUGGGUAUUACUCCCUGUUAAAAGAGAUAGUGCCUACGCCAAGAAGGGACGACAUAUCAGAAGAAAAUUGGAUAGCAAUUCUGCAAAAUCUUCAAGAGGAUGAUGUGGAAUGGAGAGCUCCUUUGUUGAUUCUUGAUGAAAUUCUCUACCGUUGUGGAAGCUUUGACUGGAUUCCGUUGCUAGGGAUUUGGGGAGCCGUUGGGUAUGCACCUUUGCUGGUCCUAAGGCAAUACAAUUCAAGAUAGUUUGUGUCGGUAAUGCAUGGUUUAGCUCAAUGUGAGUUCUCGUACCGAUGAGACAAUUACAAUAAAAAGGUGAAAGAAAUUUCUCAGGCUUGGAAUCAGGUUCAUAGGAUGAAAAGGCUAGCUGUGGGUUCGAUGACGACUCCAGAGUACAAUAAGUGGCAAAGUAAGAGAAUUAAUGACAACAUUUCGGAGUUACACUUGGAGGGUGUUCGACCAAUGGAAGAGUACCUACAAGUGGUCCCAUCAGAGUUGGAGAUUAUAAAACAAGAUUUUGAAAAGAGGAAUUUAGAACUCGAAAAGAAAAUAGAGCGGUUGGAAGAAGAGAAGAUGCAUUUGAGGCUAGACGUUGACGUCCAAAAGUUAGAAGCUGAAAAAUUAAAGAAAGGGAAAAAUAAAGUAGAGGAGGAUCUAGAUAGCUUAAAGACAGACUACAAAAAACUGCGAGUAUCAAUGAGAAUCGCGGGGCUGGGAAAGACUUCAGGGCAAUGGAGACGGGAGAUCCAGGAAGAAAGAAACAAGGCCGAUGGAUGGGAAAAGAAAUACCAAGAAACUCAGGUACAAAACAAGGCUUUGGAGAGGAAUCUAUUAGAAAGCCGGAGUGAGACAGAUGAAUUAAAGGCACAAAUAGUUAAACUUGAAAGGUCUCUUCAUCAUUACCGAAAUCGUAAUACCGCGGUGGAGCUAAGAGUGAGCUUGAACAAGAUUGAGGAAACAAAGAAAAGAGUAGAAGAAUUAGAGGCGACAUUACAAGACUAUGUGAUGCGGGUGGAGUUUUUCGAAGCGAAUGAAGAACAUCAGAAAGAGCAGGUCCAUUAUUAUCAGAGCCAAGUUAGAGACAGAGAUCACAUUAUGGGAGAAGCUGUGGCCCAGAUUCGGAAGGUACUCGAUUACUUGCAGACCCUGGCAGUACAAGAUGACACUUUGAGCAUAAAAUACGAGUUGGAAUCAGACCGGGAAGAGAGCUUGCUUCGCUAUUUAGAAAGAUUAAAGUUCUGAGCAUUAGGGAAAAACUGUAUAUGUAAUCUAUUUUAUGUAAAGAAUUUUGUUUUCUAAAUGAAGCUUUCUAAAUGAAAUUGAAUUAGAAUCGACGCCUUCUUGUAUUCAUGCAUUGCAUUACAUUGCAUCAUAUGCAUUAAAGUCCACCGAAAGACUCUAAUUGGUUAAAAUCAUUACAGUUAACCUGGAAACCCACAAAAGCUCACCAAUUAAGCAUCAAUACGGUACUCAUCGUAAAACUAAGGAAAUGGAUCAAAGAUUAGAGAAAUUGGAGCAAAUGCAAAAGGAUAUGCAAGAACGGUUACAAGCACAAAUGCAAGAGUGGCUAGAUAAAAUCCAAGAAGACAUGAUGGAAAAAUUGAUCAAGGCUCAAAAAGAUGCGAUGGCUGAAUUGACCCAUCUACUGAAGGGAAGAGUAGAUAAAGGAAAGGACCCUAUGGCUGAUCAUGGAGAGGGUAGUGAGGAUCCGUUAUAUCCUCCGGGUUUCACUCCACCAAAUGUACGAACCCAUGCUGAAAUAUACCCAAAAGGACCGUUUGUCAUAAUUAGGCAGCAAAAAUUGAAAACUGGUGUCACGAUCCCCACAAUUUUUCAGGGACGAUCGAGUUUAAGCCCGGGAGAAUACCCAAUCGAUCCUAUAAUUCCAGAUUUUGAUGAACCAACUGAAGAAGGAACGACGAAUGCAUAAUUGCCAAAACAAUGGGAAGAUAGGUAUAGGUGGUUGGAGGAAAAAUUCAAAGCCUUGGAAAGCGUUGAUAGUAAUUAGGGAAUCGACGCUAAAGAUCUAAGCUUAGUCCCAGAUUUAGUACUUCCUCCCAAAUUCAAGAUGCCUGAAUUUGAGAAAUAUAAUGGAACUAGCUGCCCCGAAGCCCACAUUAUCAUGUUCUGUAGAAGGAUGACUGGCUAUGUUAAUAACGAUCAAUUGUUAAUCCACUGUUUCCAAGACAAUUUGGUAGGGGUAGCGUCUAAAUGGUACAAUCAAUUGAGUCGUACCAAAAUUGGUUCAUGGAGGGACCUAGCACAGGCAUUUAUGAAACAGUACAGCCAUGUAACGGAUAUGACCCCCGAUAGAAUUACCUUACAAAAUAUGGAGAAGAAACUGGGGAGAGUUUCAGACAGUACGCACAAAGAUGGAGGGAAGUUGCCAUCCAAGUCCAGCCGCCGCUCCUGGAAAGAGAAACCACGAUGCUCUUUAUUAAUACCUUAAAAGCCCCGUUCAUCACGCACAUGCUAGGAAGUGCAAUAAGAAGCUUCUCAGAUAUAGUAAUGAAUGGCAAAAUGAUUGAGAAUGCCAUAAGAAACGGGAAAAUAGAAGCAUGAGAGAGUAACAAAAGGUCAGCCUCGAGAAGAAACGAAAAUGAAGUAAACAACGUGAAUACGUACAACAAGUCAAUUACAGUGAACCAGCCGAGGAAGGUGGUUGCUAGUCAGUAGGGUUCAGCAAGACAAGAGUCUGGUAUAAGACAAGGUACUGAGAAGCCUCAGUUCACACCAAUUUCGAUGUCAUACAAGGAGCUGUAUCAGAAUUUGUUCAACGCACACGUUGUUUCUCCCCAUUACUUAACCCCUUUACAAACCCCGUAUCCCAAAUGGUAUGAUGUGAGCGCACAAUGUGAUUACCAUGCGGGAAUUAUAGGGCACUCAAUAUAAAAUUGUACUGCCUUCAAGAAGCUAGUUGAAAGACUUAUUAGCAUGGGUGUUGUCAAGUUUGAUGACUCACCUAGCACAGAAAAGCCGCUACCCAAUCAUACCGAUAAGGGAGUGAAUAUGACGAGCGAAAGUAGGGGAGAAGAAGUCAAGAACGACAUUGCAGAAGUAAAAACACUGUUGAAAUGGGUUUGGAGAGAGAUGACGAAGAGAGGGCUAGUUAUUUCAGAUUUUGAAGAAAGGUAUGAGGCUGAAAACUAUUGUGAAUUCCACCGUGAAGUAGGACAUGAGAUUCAAGAAUGUGAGGGAUUCAAGGCUCUGUUCCAAAACAUGAUGGAUAACAAAGAGAUAAGGUUUUAUGAAGAAGUGGAGCGUAAGAAAAAUAUUUGUGCAUCAGAGUUGGCAACAAAGACUCCAGAAACGAAUCAUCCUGUGGUCAUCAUUUCGUGCUCUUGGAGCAAUGAGUCUAGGGUUCAGAUAAAACCAAAAAUUGUAAUCCAGAAACCAUCAAAUUUCUCAUAUAAGGAUAGCAAAAGGGUGCCGUGGAAUUAUGGGUGCAAUGUGACAAUCUCGGGAAAAGAAUCAGAGAGAAAUCAAGAAAUGGGUCCUUACACGCGCAAUGGGAAGCGAUAUGAAGCUCAUGUAGAAUCGUCUAGAGAAGAGAAUUGGAAGAAAGAGCAGAGGAAAGGGAAGGCAGUGGAAGUUGAGCCAUUAUUUAAUGAACCAAUAAAAGAAGAGGAGGCAAAGGAGUUUUUGAAGUUUUUGAAACACAGCGAAUACAACGUUGUGGAACAACUACGCAAACAGCCAGCCCACAUUUCUAUAUUAGCUUUGCUCUUAAGUUCAAAAGUACAUCGAAAGGCACUAUUGAAAGUACUAAAUGAAACAUAUGUUGUUGAUGAUAUUUCAGUAAACAAGCUGGAUCGGUUGGUCAACAAUAUAAGUGCUGACAAUUUUAUCUUCUUCAGUGAUGACGAAAUACCAUCUGGAAGAAGGGGUUCUACUAAAGCCCUGCACGUUACUGCCCGAUGUAAAGGGCACACACUGCCGGAGGUCUUGGUUGAUAAUGGAUCUGUACUGAACGUAUUGCCUUUAUCUACUCUUAGUCGGUUACCGGUGGACAAUUCACACAUAAAAGCGUGCCAAAGCAUAGUAAGGGCGUUUGAUGGAACGAAAAAGAGGGUUAUGGGGAGAAUUGAGAUACCGCUAAGGAUUGGCCCAACUACUUAUGAGGUGGACUUCUUGGUAAUGAAUAUUAAGCCUUCCUACAACUGUUUAUUGGGAAGACCAUGGAUAUACUCAGCCGGGGUAGUACCUUCAUUGCUACAUCAGAAGGUGAAGUUAGUAUCAGAAGGUCGGUUGAUAACAAUAAAUGCGGAAGAAGAUAUCAUCGCAACAGUAACUGGUGAUACACCUUAUGUGGAAAUUAACGAUGAGGCAGUGGAAUGUUCUUUUAAGUCAUUAGAAUUUGUCAACGCAGUGUUUAUUGCUGAAGGAAAUAGAAUUUCGGUACCGAAAAUAUCCAAGACCACAGAGAUGGGGAUGCGAUUGAUGAUUGGAAGAGGAGCUUCACCUGGGAAAGGAUUGGGAAAAUAUCUUCAAGGAAAGAUUGAUGUACUAAUGCUGAAGGAAAAUUUUGAUAGUUUUGGCUUAGGAUACAAGCCAGACAUGAAGCAGAAGAAGAAAGAAGUAGAUAAAAGACAAGAAAGAAGAAGGGCACGUUUGAGUGGAUAUGAAGUUAAAUGGGAGCCUUUGACCUUUCCCCACAUAUCUACAUCUUUUUGUGUCACGUGGAUUUAUUCACCCUGAGCGAGGAAUGUCCAGAAGUGAAGGCAUUGAAGAAAUGUUGGAAAAUGUUAAUAUCAACGCUAUAGAAACAACGGAGAAAAAGACCCGGUUGGAGAUCUGCCCUUAUGAACCUGGGAGCGAGCUAAACAAUUGGACUGCGGAAGAAAUCCCUGUAGUCUUUAGGGCUUAUUCAGAGUAAUGCUCAGAACAUUCUUGUUGUUUUAGCCUGGAAAUGAUAGGAAAUCCUUUGUGAGAAAGGCUUGAGCCUGAAUAUCAUUAUUCUAAUGAAAUACAUAUUUACAUUCAUUGCGAGCAAUUAUUCCUUUUCUUUUCAUGAAGUAAAUAUUUUCUAUUUGAUUGAUUGUCUUCCAAAUAAUUCUUUCAUUUGUAACCUUAUUGUACAAAUAAUUAUUCAUAGAUUUAUAUAUUCUUGGUAUAUUCUUUGAUAUUCCCUCAUAGGUCCUCAGAUAUUAAAGACAUGAGUGACGCUGCUUCAAACACGGAGCCCCUUUUUGAGCAAGACAUGUGUUUAGAGGGAUCUUAAGACUUUAAAAAUGACGAAGACUGGGGUAUAUCUCCGGACUUGUCGAGAAUGGUAGAACAAGAGGAUAAGCAGAUCCUACCUUAUAAGGAAUCAUUGGAAAUCGUGAGCCUAGAGGAAGGAAAUGAGGUAAAAAUUGGAACUGAAAUCACCGCAAAGACAAAACAAGACCUUAUUGAAUUGCUCCGAGAGUUCAAAUAUGUUUUUAUGUGGUCAUACCAAGAUAUGCCCGGGCUGAGUACUAGCAUUGCGGUACAUUGUCUGCCCAUAAAAGAAAAUUGUAAACCAGUUCAGCAGAAGCUCAGGAGGAUGAGACCUGAUGUUGUGCUAAAAGUAAAAGAAGAAGUCAAGAAACAGUUCAAUGCUGGAUUCUUACAAGAGAUCAAAUAUUCAGAUUGGGUAGCAAACAUCGUCCCCGUUCCCAUGAAAGAUGGAAAGGUACGAAUGUGCGUGGAUUACAGGGAAUUGAAUAAGGCUAGUCCAAAGGACAAUUUUCCGUUGCCUCACAUUGAUACUUUGGUAGACAACACAGCGGGCUACUCACUAUUCUAUUUUAUGGAUGGCUUUUCUGGAUACAAUCAAAUAAAGAUGCACCCCGAAGAUAUGGGGAAAACAACAUUCAUUACCUUAUGGGGAACAUUUUGUUACAAAGUAAUGCCCUUCGGAUUGAAGAAUACGGGAGCAACGUAUCAAAGAGCUAUGGUGACUUUGUUUCAUGACAUGAUACAUAAGGAGGUCGAAGUCUAUGUUGAUGAUAUGAUUGCAAAGUCUAGAACUGAAGAAGAGCAUGUUCAAGUCUUAAAAAGAUUAUUUUUGAAAUUAAGGAAAUUUCAGCUCAAGCUUAACCCAGCAAAAUGCACGUUCGGAGCCCGAUCAGGGAAGUUAUUGGGCUUCAUAGUUAACAGAAAGGGGAUUGAGGUUGACCCAGACAAAGUGAAGGUAAUCCGAGACCUGCCUCAUCUGCGCACUCAGAAAGAAGUCCGAAGUUUUCUAGGAAGAUUGAAUUACAUUGCUCGAUUCAUCUCACAAUUGACCGAGAAAUGUGAUCCAGUAUUUCGUCUUUUGAAGAAGCAUAAUCCGGGUGAUUGGGAUGAGGAAUGUUAGGAGGCUUUUGACAAGAUAAAGCAAUAUUUGGCUAAUACUCCCUUACUAUCACCGCCAAGUCUGGAUAGGCCAUGGGAUGUGUAUUGGGCCAACACGAUGAAACGGGAAAGAAAGAAAGGGCAAUAUACUAUCUCAGCAAGAAAUUCACUAGCUGUGAAAUGAGAUACUCAUCAAUCGAGAAAUUGUGUUGUGCUUUAAUCUGGGCAACACGAAGACUAAGGCAGUAUAUGUUGUAUCAUACGACUUGACUGAUUUCAAAGUUGGAUUCUUUAAAAUAUAUGAUGGAAUCAACUGCUUUAAAUGGGAGAAUGGCUAGAUGGCAGAUCCUGCUCUCUGAAUUUGACAUAGUAUAUGUAAGUCAGAAGGCAAUAAAGAGGAGUGCAAUAGCUGAUUUUCUGGCUAGUAGAGCCUUGGAGGACUAUGAGCCUUUAAACUUCGAUUUUCCAAAUGAGGACUUGAUGUAUGUGACAAACAUUGAAGAAAAUCCUCAAAGGGAUCACGUGUGGAGGUUAAAUUUCGACGGAGCUUCGAAUGCUAUGGGUAAUGGAAUUGGGGCAGUCUUGGUAUCCCCGAGUGGAGAUCAUUACCCUGUGGCUAGCAAGUUGGACUUUGAUUGCAUGAAUAAUAUGACAGAAUAUGAAGCAUGUAUUAUGGGCAUUCGUGCAGCCAUUGAACGAAACAUCAAAAUGCUAAGAGUGUAUGGGGAUUCUGCAUUGGUAAUAUACCAACUCAAAGGGGAAUGGGAAACUAGAGACCCUAAGUUAAUCAGUUAUAGAAAGCUAGUCCUCGAAUUGGUUGAUGAGUUUGACAAUAUCACCUUCUGUUAUCUCCCGCGGAAGGAAAACCAAAUAGCUGAUGCAUUGGCUACUCUGGCUUCGGUGAACAAAUUUGAGAAUGAGGCCUAUUCAGAUGAGUAUCUAUGAAACCCCAGCUCAUUGCUACAGUAUUGAGGAGGAAGGAAAUGAUGAUCAUCCUUGGCAUCAGAGUAUCCUACAGUAUGUGAAGAAUAGGGAGUACCCUAGUCAAGCAACAGAGAACGACAAGAGAACCCUGAGAAGAAUAGCCAUUGAAUAUGUCUUAGAUGGGGAAGUGCUAUACAAAAAAAGGAAAGAUCAAGUACUGUUAAGAUGUGUGGAUGCCGUGGAAGCCAAGAAAAUUUUGGAGGAAGUCCAUGAGGGUAUUUGUGGGACGCACGCCAAUGGUUUCACCAUGGCCAGACAGAUCAUGAGAUUUGGAUACUAUUGGUCCACUAUGGAAGGGGAUUGCAUUAAUUAUGCCAGGAAAUGCCAUAAAUGUCAGAUUUAUGGAGACAAGAUGCAUGCACCCCCUUCACCACUUCACGUCUUGACCUCUCCAUGGCCAUUUUCCAUGUGGGGUAUGGAUGUCAUUGGGCCGAUAUCACUAAAUGCUUCUAAUGGGUAUCGUUUCAUCUUCGUGGUCAUUGAUUACUUUACCAAAUGGGUAGAAGCUGCUUCAUACGCAAAUGUCACGAAGUUGGCAGUCAGCAAGUUCUUGAAAAAAGAGAUCAUUUGUCGAUAUGGAAUGCCUGAGAGAAUCAUAUCCGACAAUGCAUUGAAUUUGAACAAUAGCAUAAUAGCGGAGGUUUGCAGCCAAUUUAAAAUCAAACAUUAUAACUCGUCGUCGUAUCGUCCAAAAAUGAAUGGUGCAGUGGAGGCAGCCAAAAUGACGGAAACUUACAAGGAUUGGCAUGAGAAAUUAUCAUUUGCUCUCCUUGCUUAUCGAACAACCAUUAGAACUUCUACCGGGGCAACAUCUUUUUCUCUAGUUUAUGGAAUGGAGGCAGUAUUACCCAUUGAAGUUGAGAUCCCUUCUCUACGGGUGUUAUCUAAACUAUAGUUGGACGAAGCUGAAUGGGUCCAAUCUCGGUAUGAUCAGUUGAACCUAAUAGAGGAAAAGAGGUUAAGAGCCAUUCGUCAUGGGCAAAUGUACUAGAAACGAAUGAUGCGAGCCUAUAAUAAAAAGGUUCGCCCUAGAGAAUUUCGCGAAGGAGGCUUGGUGCUAAAAAAAGAUUCUUCCUAUACAAAAAGACUAUAGAGAAAAAUGGAUGCCAAAUUGGGAAGGUCCUUACGUUGUAAAGAAGGCCUUUUCCGGUAGAGCUUUGAUCCUAAGUGAGAUGGAUGGUAAAAGCUUGCCAAACCCCGUAAACGCAGAUUCUGUCAAGAAAUACUUCACUUGAAAGAAGGGGGACCAAAGUGAAAACCCGCAAAGGGCUCUUUGCUUCCUAAAAAAAAAGGGAUUUGGAGAGGCCAAGGUGAAACCCCGCAAAGGACGUCUUGGGACCAAAGGGGAUUUGAGUUGAAAACCCGAAAAGGGCGGCUCAAAUAUUGAUCAGAGUGGGGCAUGAGGAGAUUGGGACUGUUCAAAUUUUGAUUCGGGCACACGAUGGUCUUGCUAUACCUGAACCAACAAGAAAAGGUAUACGACAUCUUGGAGCAUGGACAGAGUACUGCAGAUCUCCUAACCACAUUUCAAAAUCAGAAUAGUCUUCAGAAGUUUGUACAGAGAAAUUCAAGCUGCAAUCACUGGGGCACCUAGUUUUUAUUGUAUUGAAUAUGUUAUUCUUGAAAAUACCUUUUUUUCUUUUUGAUAAUAUACACAUUCUCAAUCAACUUCUUUGUUAUUCUUCUGUUGCUAUUGUCAAUAUUUUGUCUCUUUUGAGCUAUACUCAAAACCAACUUUUAUUCAUAGUUAUAAUCUUUCAGCAAACAUGUUGCAUUGGAAUAAUGAUUAAUGAACUACUAGAACUUUCACAAAGGAAGUUUUGCAUAUUACUCUGAAAAAGUUUCUAAAUAAUACAGUAACCUGGAACAGGACUAUUGUUUAGAACAAACUAGGAUUAAAGGUCAGAAAUCUAAGAAAAGUCUAAUUUUUAAACAAUCCCUUUUGGAUUUUGUUGACAGAAGCAUCAAUUGAACGAAAUGUCAGCAAUAAUCAUGAGUUAGAAAGAUAAGAUCUUUUUCGAGGAAAAUUCUUCGUGCACAAGUAUUUGAUGUGGCAUCUUGUGAAUGGAGUGUAAACCAAAGAUUUACACGUUCGGUAUCCUUCAAUUUUGAUUGAAAAGAAUGAAAAAGGAUUGGAUCUCCUUAUUUUUUUGAAUUGCAUAUUGAACACAACUCAGUGAAUCGAGCUUGGAGAUUUACAUCGGGGGAAUUUUAAUUAAGCGUUUUAUUGAAAGCACCAGCCAGGAAGGAGGGUGUUAAAGCACGAUUGUGACAAAAGCCUUAAUAGAUUUUGAGUAAUACAGCAGCAUCUUGCAUUCAUGAAAAUACCAUUCACUCAUGUCUAGUUAGGAGCAUUGGAUUCAUUCUGAUCAUGUCAUCCUAAUCAUUAGGCAUAAUUAGGUUCAUUACACAUGUCAUGUUCCCUAGAGAACAGAUCAGUAAAGAUAGCAGAUCUUAUCUCCCUAAGCAGUAGUGGAGCAGAUCAAAGACAGCAAAUAUUAUCUUUCCAAGAUAGUGGGAAGCAGAUUUAAGCCACCAGGCCUUGUCUCCCUGAGCAGCAGCGGAGUAGGUUGAAGACACUAGAUCUUAUCUCCCUAAGCAUUAGUGGAACAGAUCAAAGAUGGAAAAUCUUAUCUUUCCAAGAUAGUGGGAAGAAGAUUUAAGCCACCAGGCCUUAUCUCCCUAAGCAGUAGUGGAGCAGAUCAAAGACGGCAAAUCUUAUCUUUCCAAGAUAGUGGGAAGCAUAUUUAAGCCACCAGGCCUUGUCUCCCUGAGCAGCGGGGUAGGUUGAAGAUAGUAGAUCUUAUCUCCCUAAGCAGUAGUGGAGCAGAUCAAAGACGGAAAACCUUAUCUUUCCAAGAUAGUGGGAAGCAGAUUUAAGCCACCGAACCUUGUCUCCUUGAACAGCAGCGGAGUAGGUUGAAGAUAGCAGAUCUUAUCUCCUUAAGCAGUAGUGGAGCAGAUGAAAGACGGAAAAUCUUAUCUUUCCAGGAUAGUGGGAAGCAGAUCUAAGCCACUGAGCCUUGUUUCCCUGAGCAGCAGUGGAGUAGGUUGAAAAUUACAGGUCUUAUCUCUCUGAAGUUGCAGUAGAGUAGAUCGCAUCAGACUUAUCUUUAAAGUUGUAGCAGAACAAGUUAAAGUUACAAGUCCUAUCUCCCUGAUGUUGUAGUGGAGUGGAUCGAAGCACCAAUUCCUACACCUCUGAAGAGGUAGUAGGGCUACCAAGGUCCGACACGACCGGGAAAAAUUGGUCCUUUUUAGUCUUUGCUUCAUCCCUGUCACAUGACAAUGAGCAAAGAGGGGCAGCUAUAAUAGGCCCAAUCUGCCCGGCCCGUUAGUGAAAUAAAUCAAAUAAACAAAUGAAUAAAAUAAAUAAAAUUAAAAAUUAAAAGUCCAAUAAAAAUAGUCCAAUACAAGUUAUUAACCCAUUAAGGCCUACUAAAAUUUAAACCCACUUUGCUUAGACCUUGGCCCAAUCACGAAGCAGCCCAACAAGAAAAAUCAGAAACGGAAAACCCUUAGGGUUUCCAGUUUUUUCAGCACCGCAGCCAGCACGCUCCCCUCAGCCUCACGCACGGACCACUCACGCGAGCCUCUGUACGCACGCGCCCGUGCACAUCUGUAUGUGCCACGUCCUCGGCCCUGCAUGCUGUACCUGCAAGAGAUGAACGAAUGAGCAGCAAAACAGACACCAACAGCACACAAAAGGAACAGAGAAAGAAAAUGAAAAGGCCAAAACGGGGGUGAUUUGUUUUUAUUUUGUCAUUUUUAUUUUUUGUAAAUAGAGACUAUAAAAGACUAAGAAUAUGCUGUAACACUGACUUACGCAAUCAGAAUACAAAAACACCAAAAAGGUGAUUUCUGGUUUCCUUUUUCUUCUUUCUCAGUUUUUUUUUUUCUUUUUUCAUUUUUACAUCUAUCAAUUGUUUUUGAAAAAGAUAACCAAAAGAGCAAGACGUACCUUGCCACUAGACCUUUUGCUCUUUCUCCGUCGUCAUCGGAGUUUGGGAGCAAGGUUCGAGGAGUCUCUGAAAGGGGGCGAUGAACCGUCGAGCGGCGCAUAAAAGGGGCCUAGGGUUUAACUUCCUUUUUCUUUUGUUUCUUUUUUAACAUUUGUUUUGAAAAUGAAAAGGAGGGUUGCUGAUCAGGUUAAUGGGGUGCUUAUGUACGUUGAAAAACAACGCCGUUCAGAAGCCUCUGACCCGCCCGGUGACCCGAUUCGGGGAGGAUCCACGUGUCUUCUAGCAUUUGGGUAUAUUGCGCAAAAGGGCCCUUCUGCCCUUGCACGUUUCUAUAUCGGUCCUUUUUAGUUUUAAUUUUUUUCCCUGUGUUCUGAUAAGGCAUCAUUUCGGUCCGUGCAAAGACGUUGCAUUUUGGGGUACGAGAAAUAUUUCCCAUUUGGUCCCCAUGUUAUCCGCAAGUCACGCUUUGACCCGCCAUGUUAUUCUAUUUUUGACAUUUUCCCUUCAAUUCUGUUUUAUUUCUAAUUUAAUCCCUAUUAAUUCAUCUUAAUAUUUUUUUCCCAUAAAUUCAUUACUUAAUGUUAUAAAUCUUUUAUGUUUUAGAUAUCAUCAUAAUAUGAUUUAUACAUACCUUUUUGUUUGUUUUCGUUCAUGAACGCAUAUAUAUGUAAUAAACUUUAAAAUUUUUAAUAAUAAUGCUUUAUAGUUUUAUAUAUAUAUAGGCAUAUAUAGUAUUUUUAGUAGUUUAUAUACGUAUGCAUAUAAUGAUGUAUUAUUAAUUUCAAAUGAUAUUUUCUUAUGCAUAAAAGCCUUAUUCCUUUUAAAUUUGUUAUUUUACUUGAUUUAUUUAACUUUUAUAUAUCAUUAUUAGGUAUAUACUAUUAAUUUUACUAAGUUUUAUUUAUAUAAAUUAGAAUGUAUAUAUUAACUUCAAGUUGUUCACUUUUAUUUUGCUACGUUAUUUAUUUAUUUCUUUAGUUUUUAAUCUUUCGUUAAAAUUCAUUCAAACCUUUUAUUUGUUGUCUUAGUUCUAUUACCAAAUUGAGUCAAACAUUCAUAUUACUUAUCGUUAUUAUUGUAUGUUUAAUUGAUUAUGAUUUUAUAGGUUGCUUAAUUUUUAAUAUGGAUGUUUGAAUGAUAUAAUUAGAGCCAAUGUUUGUAUUUGCCUAUUAUUUGUUAAAUUACCUCUAGUUUAAGUUUGGAUUGUUAUUUUUCUUUUACAUUAUAUGUAUCGUUGUUUAAUCAUGUUCUUUUUGUAAGAAUUGAUUUUUUUUAUUAAAGCUUCAUAAUCGUUUUAUUUCAUGAUCCUAAAAAAGGGGCUUGGCGUUCAUAGAUUCCCGAGAGAAUCGUGCCCUAACUUACUAGGCUUCGAUUCUUCUCGAUGAACUUAGAUAAUCAAGCGCCCAUUUUAUAAUAAAAAAACCUGCAAUUAUUAAAAUAAAAUUCUUAAGUUUUCAAAAUGUUAGAUCCUAACUUACUGGAUAUGACAUUUUGUUAUCUCAAUUUUAAAAAAAAUAAAGGCAAUGUCGGUUGUUUAAGAAUUUUGAGAGAUCAAACCCUAACUUACUAGGUUCGAAUUUCUCAAUUGACUUAAAAAAUCGAAUCUCCUUUUUAAAUCACAUGAUUUUCUAAAAAAGGGAACAAAUCUAAUUUCAGAGAUUGAAUUGUUACACCCUAACUCACUGAGUGUGGCAACUUAUCUCUGCAAAACGAGUACAUCUUACUGCUCAACUUGGUUUAUUCAAAUUUGAAAUUAAAAAGGGUUGUAUUUUUUAAAAAUCUUUUCAAAGUUUCGACAUUAAGACAUCAAACAAUCAAUUCGGUACCAAUUUUGGGCGUCACGAGGGUGCUAACCCUUCCUCGUGAGUAAUCGACUCCCGAACCUAUUUUCUCAAAUCUCGCAGACCUAAAAUUUAUUUUAAUGGUGAACCGAUCACACCUUAAUAAAACACCAGUGGCAGCUCCCACUUUAUUUUUAAAGGUCGAUCCCUAUUUUUCAAAUAAUAAAAUUGGUUUCGACAAACAGUCUAUGAAUAUUUAUGAUGUCUAAAUGUUUAAUUUAAUUAAUAUAGCUUAAAUUUAAUUCGUAUUAGGUUGAUUGCAUUUCGUUUACUUGAGUUAUUAAAAUUAUGUUUGUAUUGUUAUAGGCAUCGAUAAGAUGUUUGAUUAAGUAAAAUCAUGACUAAGUUAUUCUUGCAUUACAAUUGUAAGGUAACCCAUGAAUUAAUUAUUUAAUCGGAUUGAAAUUGUAAUUAUUUAACACGAUACUUAAUCAGUGCAUGUUUAAUCAUCUAAGCUAGCUGAGGGUUAAAUUAGCAACGGUAUCUAACUAUACAUUAGCCUUUCAUAACUUGCAAGAUUAUUGUGAUUAAACUGUUUCAAGGUAGAAAUACAUUAUUACCUCAUGUAAUCUUUUAUGUGCUUAUGAGAUUGAAUUAAUUGUUUGAAUUGGCAUAGAGAUAUGUACAAGAGAUUAUUUUAAUUUCAUAAGUAUGUAGGUGCAUUAACACAUUUGCUUAUUAAAAUAUGUUUAAUCGGUUGAAUUGACAUAGAGAUAUAGUCAAGAGAUAAAUAGAUUUUGGUAGGUAAGUAUGUUCAUAAGUUAGCAAAUUACCGAGUUGCCGUGAAUUUAUCCGUAACAACAUGAACAUGAGUUUAAUAAUUCUAAGCUAAGAAAUGUAAUUAAUCUAACACAAUUAUGUCAUAUUGAUUAAAAUGAUCUUUUGAAAUCGUGCAUUGAAACUUUUAUUUUAUUUUUAUUUCUUUUACUUAGUUAAAAAUCUUAGUUUUCAAUCAUCUCCUCAAAUUAAAAUAUUUUUCUUCACCAAAGUGUUUUAAAUUGCAUUCAUAAAUAAUUCUUUUCACAGUCCCUGUGGGUACGGUAACUCAACAUUUACUUGUCACUUUAUUACUUAUUGUGAUUGUGUACACUUGCACAUUUCCGUCGUUCCAAGUUUUUGGCACUGUUGCUGGGGACUAUUUUAAAAGACAUUAUUUGUGAAAUUGUUAAUUUUGCAUUUUGGUCUUUUUUUCUGUUAAAUUUUAAUUCCAUUUUUUGUGUUUAUUUGUUUCGGGUGUUUAUGAGUAUUGAUCAAAUUAUUGACUUACUCCUCGUAGAGCCUAAAAUUGAAAGGACUUUCUGACAAAGGAGAAGACAAGCAAACCAAAGAAGGAUCGAAGAUAUGAAUUUCAAAAAUCCAAACCAAAAUCCAGGAGGAACAUUCGCUUAUAAACUCACAAUCCGAUCAUUGAUGCUGAUGAUAGAAACUGUGCCAUUCGAAAAUAUGUCAUUCUUCUAUUCAACAAGCUUAAUCUGAGUAUUAGAAUACCCGAAAUAGAGACACAACAAUUCAAGCUGAAGCCAGUCAUGUUCUAAAUGUUGCAAAAUAUGGGUCAAUUUAGUGGGAUUCCUACUGAAGAUCCAGAUCUUCAUCUUCGGCUAUUCAUGGAAGUGAGUGACUCAUUUAAACUAGUCGGGGUGACUGAGGAUGCCUUAAGACUGAGAUUAUUUCCAUACUCCUUAAGAGAUAGAGCACGAGCGUGGUUGGACUCCCUACCGUCUAGUUCCAUAACUACAUGGCAAGAGUAGGUUGAACAUUUCUUAAUGAAAUAUUUCCCUCCAUCUUUAACUGCCAAGAUCCGAAAUGAAAUCACUUCAUUUCAGUAACUUGAUGAACAAUCUUUAGGCAUAGGAGCGGCUCAAGGAGUUAUUAAAAAAGUGCCCUUAUCACGGCAUUCCUUACUGCGUUCAAAUGGAGACUUUCUAUAUUGGUCUCAAUAUUCAUACUAGAAUGAUGGUGGAUGCUUCGGCAAAUAGAGCCCUUCCUUCUAAGUCUUUUAACGAUGCUUACGAGAUUAUUGAAAGAAUUGCCAACAAUAACUAUCAGUGGCCAACCAACUGAGCAACCCCAAAAAGACGAGUAGCAGGAGUACAUGAAGCGGACAAACUUGCUUCUUUGGCAGCCCAGGUAUCCUCUAUGUCUUUUAUGCUUAAGAACAUAAUUGUUAAUGGUUUCAAUGGCAAUCUGCCAGGUCAGCAGUCGAACCAGUUCGAGGAUAUUUCUUGUGAGUACUGUAGAGAUAGGCAUUUCUUUGAAAAUUUCCCAUCGAAUCAAGAGUCAAAAUAUUACAUGGGAAAUCAAAAUUGGAAUGGUCCACAGUCAAAUUCUUACGACACUUCAUGAAAGAAUCAUCCAAUUUCUCCAUGGAGUAAUCAAUGGGUGGACCAUAAUGAUUCUUCUAUGUCAUAUCGACCAAAUUAUCUACCAAAAUAUUCUCAACAAGUGCAACUACCCACACCAACUGAAUCUUCAAGUAAUCUUGAGAAUUUACUGAAGGCGAACAUAGCGAAGAAUGAUGAACUAAUUCAAAGCCAAGUAGCAACAUUGAAAAAUUUAGGAAACCAAGUGGGACAGCUAGCCAAUGAGCUUAGAAGUAGACCCUAAGGUAUUUGGCCGAGUGAUACAGAAAUUCUAAGAAGCACGGGCAAAGAGCAUUGCAAAACCGUCACUUUACAAAGUGGGAAGACAUAGGAACCCAAAGCUAUCGAGGUUGAAGAUAAGCCUAUUGUAGCUCAAGGAAAAGAGCAAUUUCAACUGAGUGUUGAAACUCCUAUUCCAAAAAAUUCAGAUACGGUGAUCCUUGAUGAGGUAAACUCUAAACCAGUUAGUUCUGAUUACCUAACACCCUUGUUAGAUAUAGAAAAUUUUCCACAGAAGAUUUGUCCAGUUAAAGCUAAGAUUCCACCAUUGCCAUAUCCUCAACGAUUCCAGAAGCAGUAAAAUGAUACUCAGUUGAAAGAAAUCUUUGAUGACGAGGUGACUUUUAAUGACUUCGAUGCUACUAAAUCCCCAGAUAUAGUUGAAGACUGCUCUACUAUUUCCAAUAUGGAAUCACUGGCAUCUAUAGAAUUGGAGCUCAAUUCUUUAGACGAUCUGUUAGAACAUAUUCUACUGGAGGAUUCACCAAGUGAUGAUGAAGACAAGGAAUGUUUGGCUUGUUUAGAAGCUAAUUUGAAGGAAUCCACUCAAGAAGUUCCACUCGAAUCAUUAGAGUUAUCAUCUCAGGAGUAUACAAAACCAAAGUUGUUGAUUGAAGAGCCAGCUAAAUUGGAACUGAAGAUUUUGUCUCCUCAUUUGAAAUAUAACUAUUUGGGUCUAUCUUCGACUUUACUUAUCAUUAUUUCAGUUGAGUUCACCAAAGAUCAAAAAGAAGAGGCAAUUAUGAUUUUGGAAAGGCACAAGAAGGGUAUUGGAUGGAUUAUUUUACAUAUUCGAGUCACGGGUUGGAAGAUUUGUAGGAAUUACAGGAAGUUAAACAAGACCACCAGGAAAGAUCAUUACGGGUUUUCUUUUGCCUAAUAAGAUGUUGGACAGAUUUGAUAGGAAAGAAUAUGAUUACUUUCUAGAUGGUUAUGGUUGGUAUGAAAAAUGGCCAUUUGACAUCACCAUGGUCAAUGACGAUCCUGAAUAAAAUGAAAGGAGUUCUCUUCACUUUCUCUAUCGUUAUUUUAUAUUUUUAGUUUUUUUUCUCAUUUGAAUAAAUUGGUAGAUUUAGAUAAAAUUUUCUUUAGUUCAUUACAUUAAUUAAAACUCUGUCUAGGAGAUUGGGACUUAAACGGGAUCAUCUGUGACCCCUCCAGUCUUUCUUGGGAGUUUAAUUUAAUGUAAUUUUUGAAAAAUAUUCUUCUUAGUAGGCCGAAGGAUUUAAGUAUUUGUUUUGGUAAAUAAAGGGUCAACUUUUAAGCUAAGCACUAAUUUCGUUGAGUUUUUUUUUAGUUUACUUUCAUACAGGAGCUUAGGAUUCAAAAAAGAGCUACCAUUGGGCUUAAGACACUGCUAGGAAGGGAAAUAUUCAACCAUUUUCUGCAUAAACCUAUAGCCCUUACCUUACUCCACCUCUACUCCCAAGUAGCCCAAUAGUGCAUCUCACUUAACCCCUUAAUGUUGUAGCCCUUAACUCCCUGAAUCACCACCCCAAACACCUUAUUCUAAGUUACCAACUACAAUACCUAAACUAUCUUUAAAACUGCCACCCUCUUCAACCCUAAACCUUACCCUCAACUACUCACCCACCUUCCCAAAAUUGAAAUCACCCUUAACAGAUUUCCUAAGUUCAACACUGAGAGUCCCUUUAUCUAGCACCAUUCCACGAAGUGAACAGUUUGGUAUAAUGGCUAUGCUGCGACACAUGUAGUUGCAGCAACAAGAUUACUGGAGAUACUAAAAAAUACAGGAUGACUAAAUUAGAGAUCCAUUUAAAAUAUAUAUUUCAUAACCCGUUUGUUUUUGUGCCUGAAUUUCCAGACUUUAUAAUCGAACCAUGGACUCCAAUGUCGAGGAAGGAAAAAGAUGAAUCAGAUUCUGAGGGAUCUGCAAAUAAUACAAAAGGGGGAUCUUGAAUUUAUUCUAUUUCUGUUCUUAGGUUAUUUAAUAUUUUAGGAUUAGGAUUUAUUAGGAAUUUUAUUUUCACAUAAUAAAAUAAGAGGUGGAAAUCAUAAAUAAAAAUGAACAAGUUGUAAAGUACAAAGUGUGGCAAUAGGUAUAUACAUGUCUAGGAUUGGAUCUAGAAAGAGCUUGGUACUUAAGCAGUCAAAUUGACUCACCUCCUCUUUUCUAGAAUCCUACCUAGUGUAUAGUAUAUAUUCACUUUUAACAAUGAAGACAUUGUUCAUCUUAAGUAGGGGGACUGAAAAAUUGAAAUUAUUUCCACUCAGAAUAAAUUUUCUUUUAAUUAUGAUUAGGAUAUAUUUUGUUCAAAAAUUUAAAAUUUUGUUAAGUAUGCUAAACUUCAGUAUAAAUAAAGUUCGAUUAUUUCAAUAAUUGUUAUGAUAACUGAAAUAUGACAUAAAUGUAUUUUUAAUAAAGCAUGCAAAUCAUACCAUAAAAUUUUUAGUUCCUUAGGAAAGUUAGGCAUGCAUGAAAGUUUAAGUCUCUAGAAUUGACUUACUAGUUUCUUGAGGCGAAAUCCUAGGAAGCAUGGAAUGUUGAAAAUGAUUUAGGCAACUUUUGUUUGGACCGUUUGAGCCUUUCAAGCCAACCAUGAUAAAUUUUUAUCCCUUGAAACCCAACUUUGAGACUAUAUGGCCUAAUUUUAUUUGACCCCUUGCAAUAUUUAGCCAUCACUUUUGUCUUAAUUAUGUUUAAAUUGUCCCAAACACUAGACUCAGUACUAUUCAAAAUGUUCUUUGAAAAUAAGUUUGGGGGAGUUGAAAAGAAGUAUCAAAUGCUCAAAAAAGUUGUAGUACAUACAUUAAAAUGCUCGUAAAGAGAGAGAGAGAGAGAGCAUAUGUACUUGAAAGAAAAUAGAUGUACAAAAGAGCACGUGAAAGCAAAGUAAGUUGGUGUAUUGAAGGUAAUUAUUUUGAAGGUCCAAUUGAAGCUGAGUCUAGGGUUUUUAGCCUAAAUUUAUCUAUCUUUUACCUACCCCUAGUCUAGCCACGUUACAACCUUAUUAAAGACCUAUUGAUUCAAGUUUUUAUGCUACCUACAUUAGUUGAGAGAAAUUGUUAUGUUUAACAUAUGAAGGCAUAAGUUAAACUUAAUGAUUGCAGCUUAAUCUUGAAUAAGGGAAUAAAAUCAAAUUGGUAGGGAUUUAACAUGUCUUUAUUAAAAAGCAUUUAUUCUAUUUUUUCUAUCAUAAGAAUGAUUGAGAUUAAUUUGAAUGAUAUGUAUACAUAAGUAGCAUAAAUAUCAAAUUUCUUAUUCUUAAGCAUAAGUAUACCAAAUUCAUACUUUGUUGUUCUAAAGGAAUUGUUCAAAGGUUUUUCUGAGAAAUUCUUUUCAACUUGUGCAUUAUUCGGGACGAGCAAUGAAUUAAGUUUGGGGGAGUGGAAACACGAAAAUAUACACACUUUUUCAUGCCCCUUUUAACUCAAAUUCAUGUAGUUUCGGUAAAAUUCUUGUCGAAAAAUAUAUAAUUGUUAUAAAAUAAUUAUUUUGUACUUAAAUUAUUAGCAUGUUGAUUUUUAAUUAAUUUUAUAAUUAAUUUUGAUUAUUUUUGACAGAUUUGCAUAAAGGGAAAAAACGGCCCGACAGACACUGCUAGAAGCACAAAAUCGAGUAGCAAUUUUGAAGCAUCAAGGGCAAAUAAUUUUUCAGCAUAAAACUAUCCAAAUUAUGUGUAUUAAUUCAUAAUAUAAUUAAUUUUAAUUUUAAUCCAAUUUAAUUUGGGUUAAAUAAAUUAUUAUUAAUCAAUUAUGAAAAAGGGUCUAGUUGAGUUGAACCGAGAAAACCGAACCAACCGAGCACUGGGCAGCCCAAUGCUGUCCCACAUGCUGACCCAAUCAGUUUUCUUGGCUGAUUAUUUGGCUUGCAAAAUGUCCCUUGAAGACUUCUUCAAAUUACAUUCAAACCCCUCCACUAUUUGUGCCUUGCUAGAUUUGCCCCUACCUUAAUAUAGUAAGUUUGAAAACUUCAAACUUGCCACAUGUGUGACCGGCCAUAGGGGGACUCUAUGGCUACUGAUUUUUCCUAAUUUUGGAAGCCAUCUCAGCCUAUAAAUACCCCCCUUGGCUGCUCACUUGAAAAACAUUUCAACUCUUCUCAUCUCUUCACUUCUCUCUCAUUUUUCUCUCUUCAUUUCCCUUCCAUUAUUCUUCAUUCCCUUGUCGAUUUCACCUCUUAAACAAAAGUCAAAUUCAUCAGCCAUUUGGAGCAGCAUUCAAGUGUUCGUAGAAGCCUCAGUUUGACAAGAACAAGCGGAGAAGGAGUGGAGCAAACUAGUCAAGCCACGGAGAGAACAACGGAUUUGAUUCUUAUUCCCUACCUUUUUAAUUUUGUUGUUAUGAUGAACAUGUCUAUGAAUAUUUAUGAUGUCUAAAUUUUUAAUUUAAUUAAUAUGGCUUAAAUUUAAUUCGUGUUAGGUUGAUUGCAUUUCGUUUACUUGAGUUAUUAAAAUUUUGUUUGUAUUGUUAUAGGCCUCAGUAAGAUGUUUGAUUAAGUAAAAUCAUGACUAAGUUAUUCUUGCAUUACAAUUGUAAGGUAACUAACGAAUUAAUUAUUUAAUUGGAUUGAAAUUGUAAUUAUUUGACACGAUACUUAAUCAGUGAAUGUUUAAUCAUCUAAGGUAGCUCAGGGUUAAAUUAGCAACGGUAUCUAACUAUACAUUAGCCUUGCAUAACUUGUAAGAUUAUUGUGAUUAAACUUUUUCAAGGUAGAAAUACAUUAUUACCUCAUGUAAUCUUUUAUGUGCUUAUAAGAUUGAAUUAAUUGUUUGAAUUGGCAUAGAGAUAUGUACAAGAGAUUAUUUUAAUUUCAUAAGUAUGUAGGUGCAUUAACACAUUUGCUUAUUAAAAUAUGUUUAAUCGGUUGAAUUGACAUAGAGAUAUAGUCAAGAGAUAAAUAGAUUUUGGUAGGUAAGUAUGUUCAUAAGUUAGCAAAUUACCGAGUUGCCGUGAAUUUAUCCGUAACAACAUGAACAUGAGUUUAAUAAUUCUAAGCUAAGAAAUGUAAUUAAUCUAACACAAUUAUGUCAUAUUGAUUAAAAUGAUCUUUUGAAAUCGUGCAUUGAAACUUUUAUUUUAUUUUUAUUUAUUUUACUUAGUUAAAAUUCUUAGUUUUCAAUCACCUCCUCAAAUCAAAAUAUUUUUCUAGACCAAAAUGUUCUAAAUUGCAUUCAUAAAUAGUUCUUUUCACAGUCCCUGUGGGUACGAUAACUCGACAUUUACUUGUCACUUUAUUACUUGUUGCAAUUGUGUACACUUGCACAUUUCCAUUGUUUCACUCCCUAAUAAAGCUAAUGUCGUUACGAAUGCGUUGGGCAAAAAAAUAGUAGUCGAGUUGCGAGUGAUGUUCGCUCAACUGAGUAUUGAUAGUGAUGGAAGUUUACCAGCCGAGUUGAGAAUCAAACCAGUAUUAUUUGAUCAUAUUAGAGGUGAUAUUUGGGUGAUAGUCGAUCAUUUUUUAAAGUCGGCUCAUCACUACAAAAGCUAGCUGAAGUCUAUAUUUGAGAAAUCAUCAGAUUACACGGCGUACCUAUGUCAAUUAUCUCUGAUCGGGAUCCUUGAUUCACUUCGAGGUUUUGAAAACAAUUUUAUGAGUUACUCGGUACAAGGCUAAAUUUUAGCACGGCUUUUCACCCUCAAACAGAUGAAUAAAUAUGAACGUGUUAUUCAGAUUCUGGAAGAUAUUCUUCGAGCAUGUGUGAUCGAUUUUGAAUUGGGUUAGGAACGUUAUUUCCCUUUGGCCGAGUUCGUGUACAAUAAUAGUUUUCAAUCGAGCAUUCAAAUGGUUCCUUAUGAAGCUUUAUACGAUCGAAAAUGUAGAACACCUGUAUGCUGGUCUGAAUUGAGAAGAAGGAAGUGGUUGAGGUAGAAUUGAUUCAAGAAACGAAAAAUAUGGUUAAAGUGAUUCGAGACAGAUUGAAAGCAACUUUUGAUAGACAGAAAUCUUAUGCAAAUUUGAAACGUUGGGACAUCGAGUUUGCAAUAGAUGAUAAAGUAUUUUUAAAGGUUUCGCCAUGGAAGAAAAUUCUUCGAUUCGGUCAAAAAGGGAAGUUGAGUAAUCAUUUUAUUGGACCGUAUGAGGUUAUCGAAAGAGUAAGACUGGUUGCUUAUCAGUUCGCAUUGCCUACAGAGUUACAGAAAAUGCACGACAUAUUUCACGUGUCAAUGCUCAGAAAAUAUAGAUUGGAUCCAUCUCAUAUCAUUUCUACAGAAGAAAUUUUAAUUCAAUCUAAUCUAUCAUACCAGGAAGAACCGGUUAAAAUUUUAGCUCGUGAGGUGAAAGAGUUGCAUAACAAGCGAGUUCCGCUAAUGAAAGUUCUUUAGUGUAGCCAUAAUGUCGAGGAAGCGACGUGGGAGUCGGAGGAAAUGAUAUUGUCUCAAUAUCCCAACCUCUUUUCAGGUAAAUUUCGGGCACAAAAUUUCUUAAGGGGGAGAUUUGUAAUGACCUGAAAGUCAGCAGUGUCGGAAAAUAUGGUUUCGGGACCCUAUUUUCAUAAAUAUUUUUAAUAAAAUAUGUAUGGAAUUAUGUUAGAAGUAAAUUAAAUAUCGGUUAGGUGAUUUCUUUGAAUUAGAACUUAAAUUAAGGUACAGGGACUUAAUUGCUUAAGUGAAAAAAGUAUAAUGGUUAUUAAGCUAUAAACUAAUUUAUAAUUAAAGGACUUGAAAAAAACAAUUUGUAUCCUUUUUAUUUAAUUAAGUGGACGGUCAUAUCAUAUUUAUAUGUAUGUAAUAUAUAUUAUGUUAACUAUAAUAUAUUUAUGUUAUAUUAAACUACUAUAAAUAAAAUAAAAUAAAAUAAAAUAAAGAUGAAUAAUAGAUAGUGGAUAGGAAGAGAAGCAUAAAAAUUUCUUUUCAAUUUGUUUCAAUUUUGAAACAAGAAAAGCUUGGGAGGAGAAGAGAAACACACGGCCUAGGGCUGAAAGUUUCAAGUUAAUUUGGUUAGUAGAUUUUGAUCUUUUUUACUUAAAUUUUAUAUUUUUGGAACCUUAAGAUCAUGAACUAGCUUACCCAUUAUAACGCUCGGGUUUGUGCAAGUGUACACAGUCGUUAUCAAGUAAUAAGUAAGUAUCGAGUUAUCGUCUCCACAGGGAUUGUGCUUGUGCUAAGUCACUUAACUUGUAAAAUUAUAUUAACAAUUUGAAAAAAAAUAAAAACACAAUAUAGUUGAGAAGUGGUGUCUAAAUUAAAUUAAAUGCAAUGAUCCCUAAUGCAAGUUUUCCUAAGUAUGCAGACUAUAUGAAUGAAGUAGAUUUUAGCAAAAUUAAACACAAUUUGCAACAAUUAUAACAUAAAUAAACUAGGACAAUUACUUUAAUCAAACUUAAUUUAUUACCAUCAUACUUAAUAAUAUUCGGAAAAACAUUCCAUGGCAACUCGAUCUUUCAUGAGUUUGGAAACCAAAUUAGGCCCUUUCGAAAUCCUUUACUUAGUAAAUAUACAUUUUACUGAUCCUUAUUUACUAAGGGUUUCUUAGCAUUUGUGUGAGGUAACAGGGAAGUGUUAGGUUUGAAACAAUUUAAUCACACAAAUUUAAAAAUUAUGCAGAUAACAGAGCCUAGUUAGGGUUGUUAUGCAACCUACAACUUAAUCGGGUUAGAAUCUAAAUUGAGCAUGCACAUUUCAAUUAUGCGUCCAUUAGCCAUCGUCUGGUUAGGAUCGCUCAGCUAAUUCAGGUGUAUUUCAAUCACGUAUGAACGAAAUACAAACUUGAUUUUAAUUGAAAACAUGAUAAAUUGAGGACAAACAUUAUAAGCAUGAAUUAAAUAAAUAUUAUUUAAUUAAAAUAAUCAACCUAGCUUAAAUAAAAUUAAGGUAUCAUUUUUUUAAACAAGAACAAAGAACUCAUAGAAAAAUUAAACCCAAUUCAGAGUGGCUGUCACCCAAGACUCUGACUGACGAGGUCCCUUCGCUCCUUUGCUUUGCUCCUCUACUGAUGGCUUUCCAAGGUGGCCGGCCAAGGGCUCUUUAAGAGGCUAAUUUGCUGAAAUCCUUUAUGCAAAGUUGGUGAUAGGCGUGAUAGCUAAGAGAGUUGAGAGAAUUGAGAGAGGAGAGAAUGAUGAGAAGUGAGGGAUGAUGGAUGAAUGAAUGAGAGGGUCUUAUUUAUAGGUGAGGAAAGGGAGAUAGUUUACUAAAAAUAGGGGUGUUCAUCCUUUGAAAAAUCUCCCAUGGUUGGUUGUCCAUAAAUCAAGCAAAUCAAGCUCAUUUUUCCUUGAUUUUUUAUCAGUUUGGAUGCCACAACAAUUCAGGACUGAGACUCGAUCAAGUGCAAAUCUUCAGGUAAAUCUCUAAUUUCUUCAACUCUUCGAGGACCUUGUAUAAUUAAACCAAAAUUUGGUUUAUAAUCAGCCAUGUGCAGUCAAAGAUUGGGUUCACUUGGUCCCCACUUGGAUGGUUUUGCAAAUAGAAGAAAAUCCUUAGACCUGUCAAAGAUAGCAAAUAGUUUAGAGGACCAAUAAAUUAAUUUAACAACUUUAAUUAAUCAAUUUAUUUAAUUAAUUAAACCUAAUUUUUAUUAAUUAAAUAUUUAAAAUGAAUUAUUAAAAUAUAACAUUAUAUUUUAUUAUUUAAUUUAAUCAUGCAUGGCCCACUUCAUAGCUUAAAAUAUAAUAUGAUUAAAUUAAAAUAAAAUAAGUCAUUUUAUGCAUGAAAAUUAUAUAAUAAAACAUAAAAUCACAUUUUAAUAAUUUCUAUGUCCUAAUUUCAUAUUUUCACAUAUUUCAUUAAUUUAUUAAACAAUUACUUAGUUUUAACAACAAUUUUAAGUAAAAAGGUGAUGAAUUAUAUAGGAAAAAUCCUAUAUAUUUUUCCGUUUACACCCAUGAACUAGCUUACACCAAUUCUACGUGUCGCGAAAACAACUUCGAAUGCAAGCUAGGAGAGCAAAAUCAAUGUUGUCGUGACAUGAGCUCUUCAACAUUCUGACAUCCAAAUUCAAAUGCGUGUAAGGGAAUAUGGAUGCUUUAAUGUCGCUACACUGGCACUUAGUUUCGUGACAUACAACUUCGAAACUUCCAACAGAGAUAAUUUGUUUUCAGUGUCGAGACGCUGGUCCUGUGGUGUUGCGACAUCGAUUCGACGAGGGCCAAAUUACAGGUGAGGGUAUUUUCAUCUCCACAACACAUUUUAGCUCGAGUUAUUCACUUGUAAUAGACAUAAUGGUCAUAAAACACCAAAAAUAUAAAUAGAAAUGGGUAAGGUUUCAUUUGGGGAGCUUAUUCCAUUAGUUAAUUUUUAGUUUUCUAGUUUUAGGUUUUGUUGAUUUGGGAAUUUGUUGUUAACUUCAAUUUUGGAUUCAAUUUCAAUUCAAGUUUUAUUUUCUUCAUCUAUUUGUAUUUUUUUUCUUUUGGUUUAACAUUCAAUCACUAUUUCCUCAACGACUAUUAAUGAGUUUUCAUCUUCCAAGCGUGAUCGACAUACCAACAAAUCAAAAUUCUCUUUUUCCCCCUUUCUAGUUUGCUAUUUGUCUUCAUGUUUGAAUUGAAUUUAGAGAAAAUUGUAUUUAGAUUCAUAAGGAUCUAAACCUAUAGGAAGAUUAACAACCGAAGGUAGAAUUAAUUAACUGAGGAGUUAGGGCUUGUCGUUGAAUUAGUUGGAUUAAAUUAUGUGUGCUUAAACCUUAGGAUUGACAACCCUAGGAAGUUAUUUAGGUAAUAAGGUUGAAAGAAUAGUUUAUCGAGAAUCUAUUAAUUUAACCUAGUUUAAAUUACGAGGUCAAAAGAUAACUUGUUUCUGUCAAUUAGUUGAUUUAGUUAGAGGCCAAAAGGUAAUAAAUAGGUUAAUUAUUAGCUAAUUCAUAAAAACCCAAAUUCUGAAGUUAAUUAUGAACACAACGUAAGUUAACCUUUUGUUUGUUUACUGAGUGAAUUUUGAUCGUUAGUUUAGUUUUCUUUAAUUUAUGAUAGUAUUACUGCUUAGUUUUAUUUCGAUUUGUCAUACUAUAAUUUUAGCCUAUUAGCCUAGAAAUUAGUCUCUUGUUUGAUCCAGCCUCCUUUAGGCAAAAUCUUCGGAAUACUUCUGUAUUCCAUUAAAACUUUUAUAUUACAACCUGACCCGUAGCAAACACCGUUGUUAUUUUAUAUCUUUUAUUUUCAAUAUUUUCAGUCUAGGUGUUUGCACAUUUGGUUAUUGACUAGUAACCAUUAAAUAGUCAAUUACUAUCAAAUAGUAAUCAAGUCAUUUAUGACAAAGACAAAUAAGCCAUGGCCAUGUUUACUUUUCAUCUAUCAUGAAUGCUAAUGACAGGAUAUCAUUUACCCAUUAGUUGGGCUAUGAAUUCCACUAUUGUAAAUGAUGCUACAUAUUGUAGAAGUUGUAUACACAAUGCACUAACUUUAAGUUCCUUACAUCAAGUUACUAUUUGACGUAUGUUUUUUAUGCUAAGAGUAGAAAGCUAGUAAAUUAGUAGAGUAUUUAUUUUUCGCUAUGUGUUUGGCAUAUUCUGUGGGAUUCGCCAUUUGGAAAAUUUCAGGUUUCGUGGACUCAUCUGGUAAGUAUCCACCAACCCCAGAUGUUUUGGGCGAACUCGCUAAUUCACAGCUCGAUAAGUUUACCUUUGUGGUUAGUAUAUGUUAUGAUGACAUAGUAAGUGAUGUUAGAGUUUAGUUGAGAUCUAGUUAGAACUGAACUAGGAUACUAUAGAUGAUUUGAUACUUAAUUAAUUCUUCUUGAAUUUCUAGAGUGAUCGUGAGAUCCUCUAGCCUUCCACUAAGUUUUGUUCCAGUGUGUCUCUUCUAUAUAAGGACAUCAAACUAGCAUGUUGCACGUUUUUUUUACGCUUCUUCUUCUUCCUUGUAUUUUCACCAAAGCUUUAGAAAUUCUAAGUUAAAGUCAAUAGCAAAGAGUUCCAGCAUUUAGCUAACACCACUAUUAUCACCAGAUUUUUGGAAAUUUUUGGUAAACCCUUAGGUCAUUAUUGAAGGAAUUUAUGUGCUUAUAGUAAUUCAUGCUUAAGUUUUAGAAUUGUUCUUAAGAAAUAAAACUUCUUGAUUCUAGUUUACAUGCUACUGAUUGGGUUGCAUGUUAUUGAUUCAUGCAUGCAUGUCAAAUUUCUAUAAUUUGAUGGUCUGAUAGAUGUAUUUGUCUCUCUUUUAGCUCAAGAAGCUAACGAAGGUCCAAGCAAUAAGGGAAAAGGACCUACUGAGUAAAUUAUUGUACUAGACUUUCUGGUGAGUUCCUUCUCAGUCCAUGUGUUGUAAAUUAUAUUGUUGCAUGAACUGUGUAAGGUAAGAGUUCCUUCUCAACAACAUAAGUGUGGUGUUUGGUCUUGUGGUGUUCAACCAGUAUAAUCGAUAUGGGUAUGGUCUGUUAUGUUUUGAUGUGUAACACCCUCAUUGUUGCACAAGUCAGUACCACCAAUAUGUAAUAUGUGAUAUGUGAUAAUGAAGAAGGGGAAUAUGUCCGUGAUGUCUCCAAUAGGGUAGUUAUAUUACAAAUAGGACUGCCAGAUCACGAGAAAACAUACGCGACUAAAUAGAAAUGAUAUGAGUAGUUAAUAGGGUGUGUGUAUAUAAAUACGACUAAAUAAUAUGAUUCUUACUCUAAAUUCUGGUUACGAGGCUGGCAUAAGGAUGGGUUGUGUAUAAGUUAUGUUUAAGUUGGUGGAGUGCCCAUGUGUCAUGUUAAGUUGGCAUAUUGAGUCUGUAUGUAUUCUGUGAGUGUCAACGGGCGUGUUAUGAGUAUUGCAUUUGAACCUCUCUGAAAUUUCAUGUAUCUUUAUGGUAUUAAAGCUUGUUCAUCAGUAGUAUCAUUGUAGAUUAGUUGUAUUUUCAUUAUGGAACUCACUAAGUAAAUUUGAACUUAUUCUGUUAACCUUUCCUUCUCAGGUGUGCUGAUUGAAGGAAGUGAUUCUAUUGAAGGGACUAUGCCAGAGAACUGUUGAUUGUGAACUAUCUAUUAAAUUUUGUAUCAUGUAUGACCUUUUGGGGGUGGCAUGUAGAGCUACUUUGUAACUAACUUGUAUAAUGAUUUACCACUUUUAUCAAGAUACGAUUUUGUGAGAAUCUUUACAAACUUUUUAUGCAUAUGUUUAAUCUACUAUAUUUUGUUUUAUUAUAUGGUCUUAUUGACAUAUAUGCCAAAUAGUUUUUUAAUGUUAUUUUAACCGUCAAUGAUGCACUUGAAACUAUUGUAUAGGAAUAACCCAUCAUACAUUUUAUAUAAACUUGUAAACUUUUGUACGGCUUUCACCAUGUGUUUUGUCUAAAAAUGUUUUACCUGCUGUAUCAUUGAUUUGAUUGUUUUCUUAUUGCUGUUCUGAGGUUCACGUCCAAAUCUCAAACCUUUUAUAAAUUUCAAAUAUUAUUUGUUAAAUUCAUAUGGUUAAGUUUUGGCACUCUCUAUUGAGAUUUAGGGAUUGGGUCGAGUAGCGAGUGUUACAGAGUCACACAUACAUAGUCUAACAUCCACUCAGGAUUAAGGUAUGUCACACUAUGAACAUCGUAAGUGAAUAAAUCUAUAAACAAAUUUAGGAUAUUCUAAUUGGGUCUAGUCUGAUGUACUGUUAGGUCAAUCAAUCACAUCUAUGUCUCUGUCUUCUGAGAGACAUCCGCUCCGAUGCUUAAAACAAAGCAUCUCCCUAAUUGGACUUGAUGGCCACAUAUUAGUCUUUCAAUUGGUUUACUCAUUUUUUAUUAGACUAAGGACAUGUUUACGUUCAUCUACUAAUAUAAAUUUUCUUUUUGUAUUACAAUCAACCAUGUAAUACUGUUUAUUAUUAGUUAAACAUUCAAUAAUCAAUGGGCCAAUAUUUGUUUUCAUUUUGCUUUGUCUAUAAAAACCAUUGAAGACAAUAUACAAGGGUAUUAAUGUAAUUAAUGGAUAUUAUUAUUAAACCUAAAGUGACCCUAGUCGGAAAGCGGUCUCGGGACCGCUAGACCGAGUCACCAAAUUAUUUGAAUGUGAUAAUUAUUGCCUAAAAUAUGUGAAUAUAAAUGUGUGAAAGUUUUAAGCUUCGAUUUAGUUAAUUGCAUGUGAAUUUAGUUGAUAGGACUUAUGUGAGAAAAUUUAGAAAUGUGCUAGGCAAAUGCAAGUGGCCUAAUAGUGCAUGUAAUCAAAGGGGUGGACUUGCAUGUCAAUUUCCCCCCAUUUAAGUACUAGUGGCCGGCCAUGACAAGGGAUGGUGGGCAAAACAUGUCAUGAAACAUGUUGUGUUAAUGGAAAAAUAAAAUAAGAAGCAUGGGCAAAACAUGUCAUGAAACAUGUUGUGUUAAUGGAGGAAUAAAAUAAGAAGCAUGGGCAAUAAACUAAUAAGAAAUUGAAGGAAGAAAACAAAGAGAAAAAAAUGUGUUCAUCAUUCUCAUGCAUGACCAAAAAAAAAAGAAGAGAAAAGCUCUCAUGUUGUUCUUGGCCGAAUAGGAGAAAGAAAAAGAAGGAAAAAGAGCUUUGAGGAAAUCGACUAUGGUGGUUUGAUAGACUAAGGUAUGUUUGAUGAUGUUCCAUGAGAUGCAUGCAUGUUUUAGUAGUUAGCUUGAGUUCUAAAUAGCCCAUGGUUCAAAUCUUUACUAUGUCAUGGAGAUGAUAUUCGGCCAAGGUGGAUUGGUGUUGAUAUCACUUGCAUGCUAAAAGUGAAGCUUUGUAAUGGUGCAUGUGAUGAUGGAUUGAUGAUUCUUGAAUCUUCUUUUUAGCAUUUUUGAGUGAGACAUUAAGUUCUUUGUUUAACCAUGACCAAAAAUUGAAAUGGUAUGGUGUUGUGAUGCAAUCGGCCCCAACAUAGACAUGUAUGUUCGGCCACAUGAAUAAGUACAUAAGUUAUGUGUAUGUUCGGCCAUAGGUAGCCUAUUGAUGGCUUUAGCUUGACUUAGAAAAUUCGGCUAAGGGGAAAUAUUAGCUAGUAUGUUGAAUUCGAUUCGUGAUUUCGUACAUAUGUGACUCUAGUGUCUAAUGUAUAUAUGGGCUAAGUACCUUGAGCUUCUCUUUUGAUGUUCGAAUGAAUUGUAUUAAAUAGCUUGAUGUGAUUAAAAAUGCGUAUGACCAUUGUGUAUUUGAGCUAAAAGGUGGCCAUAUGACCUAUCAAACUCCUUGUCAUAUUCGGCCAUAAGCUAGCAAAAUGAGACUUUAAUGAGUUAAAUUUGUUUGAAUUAAGCUCAAGAGCAAAGGGGAACUAAAUCCGAUAAAGGGAAGGAAAAAGUGGUCGAAUAGCCGUCGAAACCGUUCGACAACAUCCGAGGUAAGUUCUUGAGUAAUAGAGCUUAAAUUAUGAUUUGAUUAGAUCAUGUUUUAAGCAAAUCAAAAUCAUGCUUCUUGUGUGUGGCUAUUGAGCCGAAAUUGCAAGAGUGAUAAGUGUCUUGUGUUUGAGUUUUGCUAAUGAAAAUGAAAUACGAAUGUGUCAUGAUUUAUUGUUAAAUGUGCAUGGUUAUUCGAAUGAUGUCCGGGCUAAGUCCCGAAGGCUUUGUGCUAAGUGACCAUAUCCGGACUAAGAUCCGAAGGCAUUUGUACGAGAUACUAAUUCCGGGCUAAGCCCGAAGGCAUUGGUGCGAGUUACUAAAUUCGGGUUAAGUCCCGAAGGCAUUUGUGCGAGUUACUAAAUCCGGGUUAAGUCCCGAAGGCAUUUGUGCGAGUUACUAUAACCGGGAUAUGUCCCGAAGGCAUUUUAACGAGUAGCUAUAUCCGGUUAAAUUCCGAAGGUACGUGAUUUGGGAAUGAAUGAUCUUGCUGUAAAAAUUUCAGUUAAUAUGCUUGAAACAUCCCAACAUUGAGGUAUGUUUCGUAUGUGCUUUGAAUUAGUUUAGCCCUUACAAAUAAGUAUUCGCUCAGUUGAUAAAUGAGCUACCGGCCUUUGGCUAAGUUGAUCUUUGUGUAUGAAUAAAAGGGUUGGUAAUGUGAAGUAAGUAUGAUAUUGAAAAUUUGUGCAUAUGAAAUUAUCCGUUUAGCUACAUGAAUGCUAUACUUUGGUUGUGUCUAAAUUCUUUGCUCAAAACUUACUAAGCAUUUAAUGCUUACUCCGUUUCUUUGAUUCUCUGUUUUAUAGAUUUUGGUUCUUCAGCUAUCGGACUCGGGAUUUUGAAGUCGAAGUCGCCCACACUAUCAAAGCCCCCUUUUGGUACAAUUUUGGUUGAACUUCGAAAUGGCAUGUAUAGGACUACCCUUUUUGUUGUGGGUCAUGGACCCUUUGGAUUUGUAUAAUUUUGGAUAGCCAUGCGAAAAUGGCUUAUAUAUGUUUGAGCAUAAUGUUAUAAUCAUUUGGUAUGGAUAUGCUUAACAAGGAUUGGCCAUGGGAAUGGUUAAUCGCUAUCAUAAUUUGUGCUAUUUAUGCUAAAAGGACUAGUUGAAUCAUGGAAACUAUGAAAUAGGUAAAGUCUACCUUAAAGGCAGAUGCUGACAGCAGCAGUGAUGUAGAUUUGUAAAAUCACUAAAAAUAGUAGGAAUGGAAUUAAAUAGUGAAUAAAUUAUGCAAACGAAGCUUGAUGAAUCUAUUUUCAUAGGAAAGUAACGAAACGUUCAUAUGAACAGUAUAUUAUGAGAUGCUAAAGUUUUCGUGAGACAGGGCCAGAACGGUUUCUGGAUUCCCUGUUCCGACUUUGGAAAUUCAUUAUAAAUUAACCAGAGAUAAUUAGAAGUCAUACCAUAUAUGAAUAGAUUCCUUUUUGAGUCUAGUUUCUAUAGAAACAAACGACAUCAGUAUUGAAGCCCUGUACAGGGAGAUAUCCAAGUCGUAAUGCGCAAAGGUCAGUGUAGUCGAUCCCUGUAACAUGGGAGACUUUGACUAAUAAACUGUACUAAUUGGCCCAAUUAAAAAUUCUAGAAAAAAAUUUGUAGAUGCAUAUAUGAGUCUAGUUUCAGGGAAAAAUCACGAAGCUGAUUUUCGAGUUGUGAAACUCAAGAUAUGAUUUUUAAGGUGACAGUGACGCAGUUAGCCAGCUUGCCUGGAAAAUUUAAAAUGGAUUGUGCAAAGAAGUGAUUUAAGUCUGCAAACCCCUCGUGUCCGACUCCGGCGACGGACUCGGGUACGGGGUGUUACAUGACUUGUUGAAAAUUGAAUAAUUUUUACUUGGACUAUUGCCAAUUUCGUGACAUUCACUUAGUGAUGUCACAACACCAAAUACAGUAGGGUCGGAGAUUUGAGGUUAAAAACAGGGUCGGUGUAGCGAUUCCGUGCUAGAAAAGUGUGACAGUAUGGAUAGAAUGCUCGGUAUCGUGACAUAAGAAGUUGGGUUCGCAAAAUUACUUUUGGGUACCACAAAAUACCCUUUAAACCUCUUAACUCUUAUUUUGCGAACCCAAAAGUAAACCUAAAAUAACCAAUUUAAACCUCUUACUUACCAAAGUGGAACCAACGCUGGAAGAAAAAGAAGAAAGUACCACAUUACUUACCAAAGUGGAAAUCUAAAGGAAGCAUCUACUAAAAGGUGGAGUUCACAGUGAGACCUUAGGGAUGAUGUUCUCACUCAAUGGGUAGCCACUUUGCAACCAUAUAUUGAUAAGUUUGUGGAUCAGUAAGGAUGGGAUGUCCUACAAUCGUCGUUGAAUCCCUAUGUCAAAUUUUAGCACAAUGAGGAAUAAGAAGAAGAGAAUGAUGAAAGAGAAAAUGAGAGCGAUGAUGAUGAAGGGGAUAACAUGGAUGAGAACUCCCCAAUGCCCUAAUUUCAUGAUUUAGAUGAGGCGUUUGUUUUGGAAUGACCUCCAACUAAGGGAUAGUUUUCUGCAGCCUAGAAGAAGACAAGUCGUGUUGUCAUCCGGUCUAGAAUACUUAAAAAAUAGAUCACAAGAAUCAAUAUAAGGGGAAAAUGGUGGUGGAUUCAAUGUUGGACUUCGACAAAGACAAAAGUUACAUUCCGUUUAAAUUUUGGAGAAUCUAAAUUAAAGAUACUAUGAUUAUUUUAGAUUUGGUUGUUGUUUUCUUUUAUUUUUAUUUACAAUUUGUAUGUGCUUUUAUUUUUGUGUGUGUUUUAUUUUUUAUGUAGGUCACCCACUCAAGGAUUACUCUAAAUUAUAGAGCUUAACAGAGAGGAGGACUACCUCAAUCUACCUCACGUCGCUUCAUGAAAAACAAGGGAGUCCUAAACUCUUAUCUUUAGAUUGGGAGCACAUUGGGGACAAUAUGCAAUUUGAGUUUGAGGGUAUACAUAAAAAUUUUAUUAAUUUAUUUGCUUGACGUGUUUUUGUGUUUAUUUCUUUAGUUUAAUAAAAAUGUUCAAAAAUGCCAAAAAAAAGUUAAAGUUAUUUGUUAUUUGUUUGUGUUUGUUGCAUAGUGCUUGAGCAUGUUGACUUUGAUGUGAUUGGUAUAUUGGUAUGAUGAUGUUUUUUGAAUUCUUUCAAGCAUGUAAAUUUUGUAUUGUGUUAGUAGAAUUUUAUUCUUUUAGAGUUAGAUUGGUUAGUUUAAUGGAUUACAAUAUGCAAUAGGGUAGAGGUGAUCAUUCUAUGCUAAAUUUCAUGCCUCAUGACAAAUAGUUAUAUUGAUGGAUGUUGAUAUACAUGUUUGGAAUCAUAAGAAGAGCAUUUUUUGAAUUUAUAAAUAUUGAAAUGUUUAGGCAUGACUUAAAACAUUGCUUGCAUAACUAAAGCCAAAUGACCUACCUAUGAAUGUUAUGUUACCUCCAGGACCUCUAUUUAAGCCUUAUUGUACCUUCUUUGAUAAGCCUAUACUUUUGAGACCUUGAGCCUUAAAAUAGAGUUACUAAUCAACCUUUUUCUCUAUCCUAUCUUUUAUAUGCACUUAGAAUUGGACGACGGACCAUAGAUAUUAUGGUUUAGGUAGAAACAAAAUGGUGGUUUUAAAAGAAUAUGUGCUUGAGUGAACUAGUGGAGAGACGAUUUUAAUGCCAUAUGUAGAGAAUCUUGCUUUUAAAGUGCUUAAUGGAAAAUCUUGAUUGAAAGCAUGGAAAGGGAUAAAAUCAUAGUGAGUUAUGAAAAGUGCAUACAACGAGUAAAAGCAUUGAGAUUGAAAAAGAGACAUUUAUUGGAUAAAAUGUUAAGAUUUUCCUGAGCUUAAAAUAAUCUUGUUUCGCUUCUUAACGCACAAUUUCGCUAAGCUUUUAUACUUUUGGUAAUUGAAUCAUGUCUUCAUAGAUUCUUUUCUUGAAAACAAAUUAUCCUUAAGCCUCAGAACAUUAAAAACCUAAAAGUCCUAUGUGACCUUAACCUUUCAACUUAUGAAUUCUUGACUAGUACUUUUUAUGAGAAAUGAAUGACUAGAGUUCUCUCUUGUAUAAGAAUUACAUCUACAUAAAUUGUUUUGAUGGAUUUCAAUGAAUGAUAGUACUUAUAUAUGAUUACGUCUAUGCUUGUUCAUCUUGUAAUUUUGUGAACUAUCUUAAUUUACUUUAAAAGUUGAGAAUUCUCUAGACAUCAUACUUAGGUUGCAUGUUAGAAGAAUCAUCUACAUUGUAUUUACCUCUUAACUAAUCAUGACCAUUAUUGUUGCUCAAGGAUUGUCUUUUGUCAUCCUAUUUUCUAAUUUUGUUACUUUUUAUGUUUUAUAUUUUAUAGAAAGUAUGAGAUUUCACCCCAGAAUCAAUAAAUACAUUGACAAAAAUUAGCUCAAGAACCAUCUAACAACCCAAUCAUAUUAGCCCAAAACAAAAUUUUAGGACAAUUGUAGCAUCUAGUUAGCUUCCCUACUUUGAAGCUUAUGCAAAUAAAAGAUAGGGCCCAAUAGGAAUAACAAUUCACGUGUCACAAAGAAAAAUAAUUGAAAACAUUUUAUGGGGAAAUAAUACAAGAGCAUAAGAAUCCAUAGGAGAUUCUUUUUAUUUAAUAAUAAGUAUAAAUACAUUAAUAGACUGUGAUAUUAACAGAAGCUAAUUUUGUUUUUGGAAGAUUAGGUUGCAAAGGAAUUUAUUAUUUCCAUAAAUUCAAUAUAAGUUGGUACAUGGAUUGAAUAGGCAUUAAGCUUCCACCCACACCAUCAGAGACUUCCAGUCCUUAAGAAUAAACAUACAAAUUUAAAUUAUUUAAAUAAUCUAAAAAAGGAAAAAAAUAUAAAACUGUAAGCCAAGUGAAGAAUGAUCAAUUACUUAAAAGCCUUUGUGUUUAACUUUAAGCAGCGACAUUGUGGAGCACAACGGCCUCAAUAGUGAGGCCAGAUUCGAACCUAAAGAGCACUCCUCACUCCAGCCCUUCUCUUGUGGUUUGAAGCCCAUCUUCCCUUGAUUUUUAAAUGAGUUUAUAAUUAAUAGGCGAAAAGCUAAAACUUAAUUAUAAAUCAAUUGAGCUGUAAUCACAUGCGUUCAAUCGGACCCUCUGCUAGCUCGUUGAAACCAGAAAUGAAUUGCAUGUUAAAUCAAAUAAACAAAAAUGGAUAGAAAUGAUAAAGUUAAAGAAAUCGACAACAUUCUGAAAUGAAUGUGGUUUUUUCACUAAGUAUGAAAAUGACCUGAUAAUUAAUUUAUGAUUUUUCAAAUUAUUAUUUAAUUAAUUAAAUUAUUGAAGUCUAAAAAUGGAAUUAAAUUAACUCGUCAUUGUGAAUUCGUUGAAUGUGAAAAAAUUAAAUAUAUGUUCUUAUAGAUUCUUUUACCGUAAUGUUACCAUGAAUUUAACGGAAUCAAAAUUAGGUUGAGAAAAUUAUUUAAUUGAAAAUUUAAUUAAUUUAAAUUAAUUUAUAAUGUUUAUUUUGGGAAAUAGAAAAACACGUAUUGCGUUAGAUUAAAUUAUAAAGUGAUGGGUUAAAAAUCUAAAAAGCACAUAUAAUUGGACCUAAUACAGGAGAAGCAUGAAUCCCCAUAAUAAUACAUAUGAGGGGAAGCACACCCUAUUAGCCCCUUUCUCUCAUAGUUGAUUGUUUUUCUAUUAAAUAGGCAUUAAAUGUUUCUAUUAAUUCAACAAUUCUUUCACUUCUUCUCCCUAUAAAUAGAUGGCAUCAGUAGGGCUAAAAAAAGUUACACAAAACUUUGAGAUAUUGCUAUUCUGCCCAAAAAUAAUGAGAAUUUAUUUCUAAGCAUAAAUUCUACUUUUCGAGAAUAACAGUUCUAUUGAUUUCUAUUAGAGAGACAAUUUUACUUUUCCAUUAAAGGUAAAGUGAAUAAUUUUUGGUUCUAUGUUUGAUUUGAAUUUGUUCAAGUCCACACUCAAGAUAGUUUAUGAUAUGAUAAUUGCGUAGAACGCCGUUAGGUUAAAAUUCGGGAACGAGAAGGAUUCUUCUAGCCCAAAACACAAGUGCAAUUUCGGAAAGUUUAUUAUUAUAAAUAUCACAAACCACCUCAGUUUUCACAAUUUUAUUUUUCCGCUAUGUAAGAAAAUAUUUUCGAACCGGAUUUUUUCCAACACAUAAUUCGCAUAAUAUUUGUAUCACAUAUCAUAUAUCAAUAAUAUCACACUCUUUUAUACUAUAUUCAAUUCAGUCCAAGUUCCCGAUAUUCAAUAUCAUCAACCCAAAUCACUUUAUGAAAUAAUUCGUAAUCUUACCUUAAUAUUUAAUUUUCAACAAACAUGUAUAUAUAUGUAUAUAAAUGGAAUGAUCUCGAAUCAUAAAAUUACAAAUCGAAUUUAUCUCGUCACUCGUCAACAACACUAACCUUUCCCUUCUCUCGUGAUAGCCCGACAUUGUCUUUAGCUAUAUUCUAUAAUUCAAUAACAAACAAUAUUAGUUUACAUUCAAAUAACACUCAAAUACAAAGCUAAACAUAUUUUUCAUUUUAUUCAAUUUAGUUCAUGUACUCGGGAUAUGUAUAUUUCUCGAUAUCUAACAUCGGAUCAAAAUCUGACUUCACGUUAUUUCAUUAUGGAUCUUAUACAUUCUAUUCACAUCCUAAUUUCAUGAUAGGUUUUUCAUUUAUUCAAUUUAGUCCCUAAUGUUAGAAAGAUAUCUAACAAGCUCAAUUGGCUUUACAAUUUAGUCCGUAUCAUGAUCCAAGCUUAUUAACUAUCAAUUUCUAGCCUAAUUCAUCAAUUUCUCCACAAUAGUAAUUUGCUAAAAACUUAAUAAUUUAACAAAUUGAUACAUUGGCUAACUAAAUCAAGCUCCCAUGAUCAUAAAUCUAUAAAAACAAUUACAUGAAAAUGACAUGAUUACCUUAAAUAAUAGCUUGGUCGAAUGCUAACCUUAAAAAAUGGAGCUUUUCUUUUUCUUUUCCUUUUUUUUCUAUUUUGUAUCUGUAACACCCCGUACCCGAGACCGUUACCGGAGUCGGACACGAGGGGUUCACAGACUAAAUCCGCUUACUAUUGCAGUCCAUUUUAAAUUUUUCCAAACAGCUGGCUAACUGUGUCGCUGUCACCUUAAAAAUCAUAUCUUGAGUUUCACAACUCUAAAAUCAGUUUCGUGAUUUUUCCCUGAAACUAGACUCCUAUGUCCAUCUACAUAUUUUUUUCUAGAAUUUUUGGUCGGGCCAAUUAGUACAGUUUAUUAGUUAAAGUCUCCCCUGUUACAGGGUGCGACUACACUGACCUUCAUGCAUUACAAUUUGGAUAUCUCCCUGUACAGGGCUUCAGUACUGAUGCCGUUUGUUUCUAUAGAAACUAGACUCAGAGAGGAAUCUAUAAAUAUAUGGCAUGACUCCUAAUUAUCUCUGGUUAAUUUAUAAUGAAUUUCCAAAGUCGGAAUAGGGAAUCCAGAAACCGUUCUGGCCCUGUCUCAUGAAAACCUAAUUAUCUCUUAACAUACCACUCAUAUGACCGUUUCGUUUCUUCCAUAUGAAAGUGGAUUCAUCAAGGUUCAUUUAAAUAAUUUAUUCACUAUUUAAUUAUAUUCCUACUAUUUUUAGUGAUUUUCCAAAUCUACAUCACUGCUGCUGUCAGCAUCUGCCUUUAAGGUAGACUUUACCUAUUUCAUAGUUUCCAUGAUUCAACUAGCCCUUUUAGCAUAAAUAGCACAAAUUAUGAUAGUGAUUAACCAUUCCCAUGGCCAAUUCUUGUUAAGCAUAUCCACACCUCUCAAUAACCAUAUCCAUACCAAAUGAUUAUAACAUUAUGCUCAAACAUAUAUAAGCCAUUUUCGCAUGGCUAUCCAAAAUUAUACAAAUCCAAAGGGUCCAUGACCCACUACAAAAAGGGUAGUCCUAUACAUGCCAUUUUCAGAGUUCAACCAAAAGUGUACCAAAAGGGCUUUGAUAGUGUGGGCGACUUCGACUUCAAUAAUCCCGAGUCCGAUAGCUGACGAACCAAAAUCUAUAAAACAGAGAUUCAAAGAACGGAGUAAGCAUUUAAUGCUUAGUAAGUUUUAAGCAGUGUCAACAGAUAACAAUCAAAUUAUAACAUAGUUGUUCGUAUUUUUAUUUCACUCUUCCUUCGGGCAUAUCAUCCCUUUACCGAAUGUGCACAUCUCAUCAUAUACAAUAGGCAGAUAAACUUUCACAUAAAAGUGAGCUCAUGUGACAUAGAUAUAUCGUAUGAUUUCACAUAACCUCUCACACUGAUCCGAUGUCACAUAAUCAUAGGAAUAGUCUCAUAGAUUGCUCUCGUAUGCAUCACAUAACUACCUUAUGAUUUAGUGCAAAUCAAGCUCACAUAUAAACUUGGAGUACAUACCUGUUUAACCUUUCGCAUUGAAUAUAUUUACAAGCAAUUCUUAUUACGAAGUCUUACCCGGACAUAAUCUCCACACGAAGUUAUCGGGUCUUACCCGGACAAAAUCCCCACACGUAGUCAUCGGGUCUUUAGAGCUCGGAUAUAGUACGAGCACGAAGCUUACAGACAUUAAUCAGUGAUAAUAUUCUCGCAUAAAGCCUGCGGGGUUUUAACCCGGAUAUAGUAUUGACACAAAUGCCCUUCGGGACUUAUCACAUUUAUACACUUUCACAUCCAUCACGUUGGCCACUCGGCCGUGUCACAUAUAUACACUUUCACAUUCAUCACAUCGGCCAUUAGGCCUUAUCACAUAUAUACACUUUCACAUUCAUCACAUCGGCCAUUAGGCCUUAUCACAUAUAUAUACACUUUCACAUUCAUCACAUCGGCCAUUAGGCCUUAUCACAUAUAUACAUUUUCACGUAUACACACUGUCUUGGCUGAAUCUACAUCUAUCAUUUUCCAAUAUCACAAUUUAGAAUUCACGUAUGGGUUUAAUCAAUAGCUUAUGAGCAACUAAAACAAGUUUAUCAAGGUUUACAACACAAUCUCAAAUUCAGCACAAGCUGUUUUUCCUGAGCAAUAGUCACUAAAUUAUUUAUAACUGGAGCUACAAAACUCCAAAUCACUUUCCGUUAAUUUUUCCUGAAUAUAGACUCGUAUAUCUUCCAUCCAUAAAAUUUCCAGAAUUUUAGGUUUGGCCAAUAAAUACCAGAUUUUUCUUAAAUUUUCCCCUGUUUCACUGUUUGACUAAUCUGACCACUCUUCACUACGAAUCAAAUUUCUCAUUUUACAGAAUUCAAAAUGUGUUUUAUUUGAUUUCAUUUGAAACUAGAUUCAUUAAGGAGUCUAAGCAUAUAAAUUUUAUCUUAUAACCAUUUUUGUACAAUUUAUAAUGAUUUUCUAAAAACAGAACAGAGGAUUACAGUGUCAUUCUGCGCUGUCUCACACAACUUUAAGUAUCUCAUUAUCGGAAAUUGCUUUGCUUACACGGUUUCUUUUAUAAGAAACUAGACUAAUUAAGCUUUAAUUUCAUGUCUCAUUAAGCCUCUAAUUCAAAUCCAUAAAUUUAUGGUGAUUUUCUAAAGUCACGUUACUACUGCUGUCCUAAGCAGACUAUUUCAAAUUUCCCUUAAAUUCCCAAGCUCAAACACUUAAGAACUUACCAUUUGAGCUUAGAACAUAUCAUGGCCACAUCAUAUCUUAUUAAAUCAACUCAUCAUGUCCUAUUAUAAUUGAAUUUACUCAACGUUUAAUCACUUAAAACUUACCUCGGAUGUGGUCGAACGAUUUCGGCGGCUAUUCGAUCACUUUUUUUCCUUCCCUUUAUCGGAUUUAGUUCCCCUUUGCUCUUGAGCUUAAUUUAACAAAUAAAUUGAUUUAAUCAUUUGAACAUCGAAAAGAGAAAAUCAAGGUACUUAACCCAUAUAUAUAUACAUUAGACAUUAAAGUCACAUACAUAUGAAAUCAUGAAUCAACUCAACAUAUUAACCCACACUCUCUUUUAGCCGAUUGUCUAAGCCAAGAUUAAGCCACCAAUAUGCUUACUUAUGGCCGAACAUACACAUCAACUUAUGUACUCAUUCAUGUGGCCGAACAUACAUGUCUAUGUUGAGGCCGAUUGCUACACUUAAUACAUUCUACAAGUAUGGUCACUUGUAUUGACUAAACACCAUUUUGUUUCAAGUUCAAAACUUGGCCAAUACACAUAUAUACACUAGUAAAGCAUCCUCCCCCUUUCCAUCAAUUCAACACAUGCAUUACUCAUUAAUAUACAAAAUUAUAUUCGGCCUUAGCACACAACUUGCUAGCCGAUUCUUCUCCAUCUAGCAACUAAUGCACAUAUGUGCUUAUUUGUUAGACUCUACUUCAUCUAACAACAACCAUAUUUUCCCUUCUACUUCCUGCCAUGGCCGGAUGCUCAAGAUACCUCAAUAUCGAAACUUUUAGCUUGGAUUGCUUAAAGAACUUGGUGAUGAGUUCAAAUUUACCUAACACCUCAAGCCUCAUAACACAUCUAUAUAGCUAACAUGCUAAUAGUCUCAAGGCUUCAACUAAAACUUUUGAAGCCUCUUAGUCGAAUACUAACUCUCUAAUAAUCCCAAAUCCAUCCAUGAGAUAGUUAGAAUUUAGACUAAUCAUCCAAGGGAUGUAUGAACUUUCAAAGCAACACUAAACAUACCUUAAUCUAGUGAGCCUUCAUAGCCGAUUUUUCUCCAAGCUCAUUCCCUUCCUUUCUUUCUUCUAUUCGGCCAAAGAUGUUCAAGGAUGAACACUUUUUUUUUCUUUGUUUCAUUUCUUCCAUUCACGGCAAAGGGGGGGCAUGGAUGAGACCAUUUUUUUUUCAUCACUCCACCUUUUUGCAUUACUUUAAUGCUAACCCCUUUUUUUUAUUCUUUCUAACCACUAUGCUUUAAUUUUGGGUAAUUUGACAUGCAAACCCAUCAUUUCACAACAUGCAUUAUUAGGCCACUUUACAUUUGCCUAGCACAUUUCCAAAUUUUCUCACAUAAGUCCUAUUUGAUAAAAUUCACUUACUAUUAACAAAAUUCAAACAUGAAAUUUUCACACAUGCAUAUGUACAUAUAAUGAGCAUCAACUAUGACGGUUAAUUAUCUUUAUGACUCGGUUUAGUGGUCUCGAAACCACUUUCCGACUAGGGUCACUUUAGGGGUGUCACAGUAUCUAAAGAAUGGUGAAGAAGCUGAUAGCUUAUCAUCUUUCUUUCCACUACCUAUUAUAUAUCUACUUUAAUUAACUUAAAUUAAUCUUACUUAUUUAAUAUAAUUAUAAUUAUAACCUCCAAAACCCGGCCUAGAUGUUAUGGCUAAAUUGAGAAGGCUACUUUAGGCACCGAAAUGGCUAAGCUAACUUACGUUACUUUUGAAGACCUUAAAUAAACUCAUUUUAGAGAAAAUUGUAUUUGUACUUUGAGUUAGCUUAAAAGCAUUCAUUCAUUAGGUCGUGUAUACUUAAGAUUCAUUUUAUUGUCGAUAGUGUUGUUUUAGAAAAACUGUUUGCUUGUCGCUUGUAACACCCCAAACCCAGCCUAGACGUUAAGGCUGUAUCUGGCAAUGUCACACGAUAGUGUUUUUGAAACCUCAUUGUUACGUUGAAAACAUUCUAUGUUAUUAUCUUUAGUAAACCUUUGUUAGAACUUAGGAAGUCCUCUUUAUUCAUUUAAAACAUUUGUUUUGAAAAAUCCCUCAUUGCGAAAGCUUUAAUAAAACAGUUUAAGUGAUCAUGUGUUUAGAAACUACUUUAGCUUUUUGAAAAUCGAAUUUCCUACGACCAGCAGGUAUAAAUCCAUAAAAUAAAUAAAUAAAUAAAUACCCAAAAUUUAAAACCAAAGUCCCAGAGGGUCCUUAAUAAUCAAUAAUAAUUAAAUCAUAAAACGUAAAUUGAAAACCAUGAAGUCCAAAAAUUUCUGUGGUCUGCGCUGAGUCCUCCGUCGCACCCAUCCAUCUAAGUCUGGAGAUUACCUAUGCACAUUAAAAAAAGGGUGAGUUUACGUAAACUCAGUGUGUAAUCCCGUAGAAACAAACAAACAAUUAGUAUUCACAGUGCACGGUUUGGGCCUAAGCCUUUUUAGUAUUAGUGACAGUUUGGGCCUUAGCCCAUCUCAGUACAAUGUCAAAAAUGCAGUAGGGCCUUAGCCCAUCACAGUAUCAGUAGCAGUAACAGUUAUGCAAUAGAAAAAUCCUACCCAUCCAGCCUCUACACACCAUCUCCAUCCAACCCUACACUCCAUGUGGGGAUAUAAUCAAUCCACCCAUCCCUACACUCCAAGUAGUACCGAAUGCGGCCAAAAAUAGUAGUUUGCAGCUGAGUUGCCAGUAAAUUAGGCUUAUAGCCUUUCAGUACACUUCCUCCAAAUAACAACCCCCAACCCAAAGCAAUGCAACAUACAAUGGAUGAUAUGCUAUUAUGCAAUUUCAGUACAUAUAUUUGGUUCAGAUAUUAACAUGCUCAGUACAGAUAUCAUUCAGUCAAUUCCACAUAUUUAGAGGUUUAAAUAGCGCUUACCGACCUUACAGUAGGUUCACAGUUGACUUAGGCGACCCGUGCAACCUUAGAAACAUUCCGGUAAAAAUAGGCCCACACACUCGUGUGUGCCCCUAUGGCCCACUCGACCCAAAUUGCCAUUGGUCGUGUGAUCCAUUUUUAAUGUAACCCAUGCUAGCUAAAUAUUCAUAUAUUUUUUCACUAUUUACUUAUAUGUUCAUUCAAAGUUGUCUACUUGAGUCAUUGUCCCCAAAUUAUUUAUAUCUUGAGCUACAGAAUUCCAAAUUAAGAUCUGCUUGUUGUUUUCGAAACUAGACUCAAAUACCUUUCUACCAUAAAAUUUUCAGAUUUUAUAGUUUAUCAAAUAAGUACUGUAAAAUCUUCAAAUCAAUCCCAAUUCUGCUGUUUGACAGCUUCAACCUUUCUUUACUAAAAAUUAUACAUCUCUUACUACGGAAUUCGGAUGAUAUUUCUGUUUGUUUCUCUUGAAAAUAAACUUGUUAAGUAUUUACAUAUAAAUUUAAUCCCCUAAUUAUUUUUUUUACAAUUUUCAAUGAUUUUUCCAAAGUCAGAACAGGGGAACCCAAACCCAUUCUGACCUUAUCUCACAAAAUUCAUUAUAUCUCAUAACUUACAAUUUCAUUGCUUACACUAUUUCUUCCAUGAAAAACUAGACUCAAUAAAAUUUAAUUUCGUAUUUUAUUCAACCUCUAAAUCAAUUUCCACCAUUUUUGAUGAUUUUUCAAAGUUAGACUACUGCUGCUGCCCAAAACUAUUUUAGUGCAGAAUGUUGAUUUCCAAGUUUAUAACACCCUUAUUUCCUUUCUCUACAAUGUUUCGCAUCAUUUUCUCUUAUUUCUCUUAUUUCUCGAUAGCAAGCAAUUUUGAAUUUUUACUAAAUCUCAUUUUCUGCGUUUUGGGUACACACCUGAUAUCGUUUCUGAUGCAUAAGCACUCCUAAGCCUCCAGAACUUCAAAAUCAACCAACAAACCUCCAGAUUAAUCACUUAAUUCGUUUUUAAUCAACCUCCAGACUAAAAAACUAACAAAACCCUUACCUCGCUCGAGUAACCAUGAUUUCGUCCAAUCACAGUGUCAAUUCAAAACCACCAGCCCCUUGAUUAACUCCUAAACACCAAAAAGGAAUCUCCCUUUCAGAGAUUAACCAAGAACGAUUAACAAUAGACAAAAUUGUUACUUACCAAACACACGCAACCAACGAUGAAUAACCAAAUCAAUUGGUAAAUAAAGAAAGAAACCGAAGGGAAAAAAUAAUGGAAAUUUUGGCAGUAACUAGGGAAAAGAAUCAGCAGAGGAGGGAAAAAAGGAAGAAAACGUUAGAAAAAGUUUGGGUAAUUGGAGAGAAAAUCGAAACUUUACUUUUUUUUUACAACAAAAAGAUAAUCAGAUUAUUUUCUGAUAACCUCUCCCCUAUUAUCUCCUAAAAUCACUCCCUAUUAACCCACUAAAACGCAACUACUCAGAAUUUUGCUCCAACACAACUCUUAGCCGAAAUUGGUGCAAAAAUACUGUCUCCACGCCAUCAUAGAGAAUUGAACUCAAGACCUCCUUCAUACCAACACUCCACUUAUCCACCAAACCAGCAGGCCCAUUCUGUUAAUUAUUUUCCAACUUUUACUUAAAAGCCUAUUGACCAAAGAUAGGCCUUAUUCAUAAAAAUACCAAAAUUUUCCCCAAGUCCUGGCUUGAACUUGGGACCUCUCACACACCCAGAACACUUAACCACAGAAGCAGAUAUACAGUUGUGUCACACCUUCGCAAGAACAAACAUAAAAAUUUUGGGGCAUUACAACUCUACCCCCUAAAAGAAAUUAUUGGCCUCAAAAUUAACAUAAUCAAAACAAAUAAGGAUACUGCUGACGCAUCGCAUCCUCAGGCUCCCACGUGGCCUCCCCAGUGCUAUGAUUACGCCAUAGAACCUUCACCAAAAGAAUAGACUUCCUUCUCAGAACCUUGGCGUCACGAUCUAGAAUCUAGACAGACUCCUCUUCAAAGGUCAAGUUUGGCCUAACCUCAAUCUCCUCAAUAGGGACAAUAUGAGUAGGAUCAGAGCGGUAAUGCCUCAAAACAGAGACAUGAAACACAUCAUGGAUAUGAUACAACGUCGGAGGUAGCUCCAACUGAUAAGCAAUUGGUCUCACUCGCUUCAGAAUACGGUAAGGUCCAAUAAACCUAAGGCUCAACUUACCCUUACAACCAAACCUCAGUACCUUCUUCCAUCGUGAGACCUUGAGAAAAAUGAAUCCCUCACAAAAUACUCGAUCUCACGCCUCUUCAAAUUCACAUAAGAUUUUUGCCUGUCAGAAGCCGCUUUCAAAUUAUCCUGAAUCAAUCUAAUCUUAUCCUCUGUCUUAGAGACCAAUUCAAGACCCAAAACACGUCGCUCGCCCAACUCAGUCUAACAUAAAGGAGUGUGACACUUACGACCGUACAGUGUCUCGUUAGGUGCCAUUUGGAUGCUAGACUGGAAGCUAUUAUUAUAGGCAAACUCCGCUAACAGUAGAUAAUCCUCCCAACUGCCUCAGAAAUUAAUAACACAACUCCUCAACAUAUCCUCUAGUACCUAAAUCACCCUCUCUAACUGACGAUCGGUCUGAGGAUGGAACGUAUUACUCAAGUCCAAACUUGAACCCAGACUCUCAUGCACCUUUUUUCCAAAAUCGAGAUGUGAAAUGAAGAUCCCUAUCAGAGAUGAUCGAAACUGAUACCCCAUGCAGUCUCACUAUCUCAGAAAUAUAGAGCUUAGCUUCUGCAAAAAAUAAUUCGUCCUAACUGAGAUGAAGUGUGCAGACUUAGCCAACCGAUCCACGAUGACCCACACUGAAUCUUUAUUAGUGGGUGUUAAAGGCAACCCACUAACGACAUCCAUCGUUACUCACUCCCACUUCCAUAGCGGAAUCUUAAUCGGCUGCAGUAAUCCCGAAGGCAACUAAUGCUCAGCCUUAACCUGCUGGCAAGUCAGGCAUCUAGCCACAAAAUCCGUAACCUCUCGCUUCAACCCUGGCCACCAAUACAACUCUCGAAGAUCUUGAUACAUCUUAUUUCUGCUAGGGUGCAUAGCAUAAGGGCUGCUAUGCGCCUCUCUCAAAACAGACUGCCUCAAGUCUGAAUCAUUCGGCACACAUAACCGGCCCCGGAAACACAACACACCCUCAGAGUUCAACCCAAAGUCCGUAGUGUUACCACUCUUAAUCUCUUAGAAUCGAAGACCCAAAGACUCAUCCUCCAGCUAUCUACCCUUAAUCUACUCGAUCCAAGUUGGCUUAACUUGAAGCUCAGCCAACAAACUCCCAUCGUCGAACAAGCUAAGUCGAACGAACAUCGCUCUCAGAUCAGUCAUAGCCCUAUGGCUCAAUGCAUCAGCCACCACAUUGGCCUUGCCAGGAUGGUACUCAAUGGUACAGUCGUAAUCCUUAAGUAGCUAAACCCAUCUUCAGUGCCUUAGAUUCAGCUCCUUCUGAGUAAGGAGAUACUUGAGGCUUUUGUGAUCAAUGUAGAUGAUACACUUCUCACCAUAGAGAUAAUGCCUCCAAAUAUUUAAUGCAAAGACUACGGCAGCCAACUCCAAAUCGUGCGUCGGAUAGUUCACCUCGUGUGUCUUAAGAUGACGAGAUGCAUAUGCAACAACCUUACCAUCCUACAUAAGCACACAUCCCAAAUCGACAUGUGAUGCAUCACUACAAACCGUGAACUCCUUUCCAGGUUCAGGUUGUACCAAAACAGGAGCCUCAGUCAAUACAGUCUUAAGCUUCUCAAAGUUCUAUUAAUGCGUAUUAUUCCAGUCAAAUGGUACACCUUUACGUAGCAGCUUAGUCAAGGGUGCUACGAUCAUUGACAAUCCUUCCACAAACCGUCGGUAAUAACCUGCCAGCCCCAAAAAGCUACGGAUCUCAAACACAUUCUUAGGCUGCUUCUAAUCCAAUACAACCUCAAUUUUUUAAGAAUUGACUCUAAUCCCCUCAGCAAACACCACAUGACCCAAAAAUGUUACUUCACGUAACCAGAACUCGCACUUGUUGAACUUAGCAUAGAGCUCAUUUUUCCUCAAAAACUGAAGAACAAUCCUAAGGUGCUCAUCAUGCUCAUCCUCAGUUCUCGAAUAAACCAAUAUGUCAUCGAUGAAAGCCACUACAAACCAAUCCAGGUAGGGCUGAAACACUCGAUUCAUCAGAUCCAUAAAAGCUAUCGGUGCAUUAGAUAGUUCAAAUGGCAUCACUAGGAACUCGUAGUGACCAUAACGAGUCCUAAAUGUCGUCUUAUGCACAUCAACCUCCUUAACCCUCAACUAAUGAUACCCAAAACACAAGUCAAUUUUGGAGAACACAGACGUCCCUCGGAACUAGUCAAACAAAUCAUCAAUCCUCAAAAAUGGAUACUUUUUCUUAAUAGUCAACUUAUUUAGUUGUCGGUAGUCAAUACACAUCCUUGUGGAUCCAUCAUUUUCUUUUACAAAUAGUACCGGUGCUCCCUACGGGGAUACACUAGGGUGGAUAAACCCACGAUCCAAUAACUCCUAAAUUUGAGCCUUAAGCUCCGUAAGCUCCUUCGGUGCCAUUCAAUAGGGAGCGAUAGACACCGGAGCUAUACCAGGGAAAAGCUCAAUCCCAAAAUCCACUUCUUGAUUCGGAGGUAACCCCGGUAGCUCCUUAGAAAAGACAUCCAUAAAUGCCUCAUAGUUUUGAUGUCCUUUACAGUAGAAUCCUCAGAAGCGAAAACACUUACGUAGGCCAAAUACGCCUCACAUCCCUUGCGAACCAGUUUCUCAGCUACCAGUGGAGAGAUCACGUUAGCCAAGUAAUUUCGGCGUUCCCCAAUCACAACUACUUCAUUACCCUCUUCAGUUCUCAAUACGACCAUCUUAGUCGCACAGUCCAAACUGACACGAUGCUUGACCAACCAGUCCAUCCCUAAUAUCAUAUCGAACUCCCCAAAUGGAAGCUCUAUCAAAUUAGCCAGAAAUACCGUCCCUUGAACCUCUAAAGGAACAUCCCUAUACAAUUUUCUAACUCUAACAGAUUGCCCCAGCGGGCUCAACACAAUCACCUCACUAGAAGUACUCUCAACCAAAAUCCCUAGGUUUUUGGAAACAGAACAGGAAACAUAGGAAUGCAUAGAUCCUAUAUCUAUUAAUACAGUGUAAGGCACAUAAUAAAUAAGAAACAUACCCGUGAUGACAUCCGGAGCAUCUAUGUCCUCUUUGCGACGUGCAGCAUAAACUAAAGCAUGCUACCUCGCAGUAGUCUGUCCAACACCUCUGUCCGGUGCUUUCAGUCCAUAACUCAUGCCAUUACCACCCCUAGCCUGACCACAGCCUAUAGGUGGCUAUUGUGCUACCCUCUAUGGUUGUGUAGUACUAGUACCCUAAGCUUGCAUCUAAUUGGCCCUCAACGGACACUCUGUAAUGCAAUGGUCCAAUGAUCCACACUUCAGACAUGCCCCAGUCCUUCUCCAACACUCGCCUUGAUGGCGUCUACCAUAGUCAACACAUGGCUACAAUCCAGUAGCAGUAACAAGGGGCCUAACUCUCACUGGCCCAUCAGCUCUAGCCUUUUUCUUAGGCCUCUGCAUAGAACUCGAGGGCUCCAAAUCCCUCUUGAUCCUACCUCUCUCUCUAUUUCAAUUUUGGCACUCAGCGCGCUUAACCUCUUCGGUGAUAUUUACCUUCUCCACUAGUGAAGAAAAAUCACACUCCCUCUGUAGAGUUAUCAUGACUCUCAAAUUAUCUCUAAGGCCAUCCUCAAAGCGGACACAAUGCUCAUACUCAUUUGCUACCAUACCUCACACAUAACGGCUCAGUUGCAGGAAUUCGACCUCAUACUCGGCCACUGAUCGAUCUCCUUGUGUUAGGUUCAGGAAAUCCCUCCUACAGGCGUCCACAUAACUAACUCCCACAUACUUCCCCUGGAAGGCGGUCUUAAAGAACUCCCAAGUCAGACGUUCGAGCUGAGUGCCCUCCUUCACAGUAAGCCACCACUGAUAAGCCUCAUCACGCAGCAGCAAGACUGCACCCUUUAAUUUCUACUCUGAAGUGUAAUCCAGGUAAUCCAUGAUCCUAUCCUUGGCCUCAAUCCAGUACUCGACCAUAUUAGGGGCGACCCCAAUGACACCCCUUAAGAGCUCAGCUCCAUUGAACCUGAGUCAUUCCGUAAUAGACCCACAGCCUCCAGAUCCAGUAUUAGGCCCAACGACCCUCUCUAAUAUCCUCAACAUAGCCUGGGAAAAUGCGUCAUCCCCAGCCAUGUGAUCAUGAGACCCAGUCUCAGUAGCAGGCGACACUGGCAUCUCACUUGUGUCUAAAUUUGGUAUGUUACCCAGGGAAGAGGACUCAGAUCGAACCCCCUUACGGCCUCUACCACAGCCUUAAGUACCACGUCCACGAAUACCUCGUGCGCUUAUGUCUAUUCAUAUUUAUCUGAAUUACGAAUUUGUAUGCAUCAGUUUCAGUAUUUACUAGCAGAUGUUUUAUGUUAACAGUUUAAGUAAUUCAAAGUGAUUUUCGUAAAUCGCAGUCUCUAUCAGUUUUGCUACAGUCUCAAUAUACACUAUCUAGAGUAUUUUCACAGUAUACUACCUACAGUAAUUUUAGAAUAUCAUAACAUAUAUUAGUUUCAGAAUAUCAUAGCAUGUAUCAGUUUCAGAACACUUACAGGAUCGGUGCCGGAGACUUCGUACACCACAUACCCAGUAGAAAUAUUUCACAUUAUUUAAAAACCAAUUUUUCAAAGACUAAAUUUAAAACCCAUAAUCCACAGUCGAGUUUUGCAACCUGACUCUGAUACCACUAAAUGUAACACUCCAAACCCAGCCUAGACGUUAUGGCGUUAUCUGGCAAUGUCACAUGAUAGUGUUUUUUGAAACCUCCUUGUUAGGUUGAAAAUAUUCCAUGUUAUUAUCUUUAGUAAACCUUUGUUACAACUUAUGAAGUCGUCUUUAUUCAUUUAAAACAGUUGUUUUGAAACAUCCCUUGUUGUGAAAGCUUUAAUAAAAUAGUCUAAGUGAUCAUGCGUUUAGAAACUACUUUAACUUUUUGAAAAUUGAAUUUCCUACGACCAGCAGGUAUAAAUCCAUAAAAUAAAAUAAAAUAAAUAAAUACCCAAAAUUUAAAACCACAGUCCCAGAGGGUCCUUAAUAAUCAAUAAUAAUUAAAUCAUAAAACGUAAAUUGAAAACCAUGAAGUCCAAAAAUUUAUGAGGUCACUACGGAGUCCUCCAUCUCACCGAUCCAUCUAAGUCUGGGGAUUACCUGUGCACAUUAAAAAAAAGGGUGAGUUUACGUAAACUCAGCGUGUAAUCCGCAGAAACAAACAAACAAUCAAUAUUCACAGUGCACAGUUGAACAAUCUUGGGCCUAAGCUUUUUUCAGUAUCAGUGACAGUUUGGGCCUUAGCCCAUCUCAGUACAGUGUCAAAAAUGCAGUAGGGCCUUAGCCCAUCACAGUAUCAGUAGCAGUAACAGUUAUGCAGUAGCAAAAUCCUACCCAUCCAGCCUCUACACACCAUCUCCGUCCAACCCUACACUCCAUGUAGGGAUAUAAUCAACCCACCCAUCCCUACACUUCAAGUAGUACCGAAUGCGGCACAAAAUAGUAUUUUGCAGCUGAGCUGCCAGUAAAUUAGGCUUAAAGUCUUUCAGUACACUUCCUCCGAAUAACAACCCCCAACCCAAAGCAAUGCAACAUACAAUGGAUGAUAUGCUAUUAUGUAAUUUCAGUACAUAUAUUCGGUUCAGAUAUUAACAUGCUCAGUACAGAUAUCAUUCAGUCAAUUUCACAUAUUUAGAGGUUUAAGUAGCGCUUACCGACCUUACAGUAGGUUCACAGUCGACUUAGGCAACCCGUGCAACCUUAGAAACAUUCCGGUAAAAAUAGGCCCACACGCCCGUGUGGCCUACUCGACCCAAAUUGGCAUUGGUCGUGUGAUCCAUUUUUAAUGUAACCCAUGCUAGCUAAAUAUCCAUAUAUGUUAUCACUAUUUAAUUAUAUGUUCAUUCAAAGUUGUCUACUUGAGUCAUUGUCCCCAAAUUAUUUAUAUCUUGAGCUACAGAAUUCCAAAUUAAGAUAUGCUUGUUGUUUUCGAAACUAGACUCAAAUACCUUUCUACCAUAAAAUUUUCAUAUUUUAUAGUUUAUCAAAUAAGUACAGUAAAAUCUUCAAAUCUAUCUUGAUUCUACUGUUUGACAGCUUCAACCUUUCCUUACUAAAAAUUAUUUAUCUCUUAGUACGGAAUUCAGAUGAUGUUUUCGUUUGUUUCUCUUGAAAAUAGACUCGCUAAGUAUUUAAAUAUAUGAAUUUAAGCCCUUAAUUAUUUUUUUUACAAUUUUCGAUGAUUUUUCCAAUGUCAGAACAGGGGAACCUGAACCCAUUCUGACCUUAUCUCACAAAAUUCAUUAUAUCUCAUAACUUACAAUUUCAUUGCUUACACUGUUUCUUCCAUGAAAAACUAGACUUAAUAAAAUUUAAUUUCGUAUUUUAUUCAACCUCUAACUUAAUUUCUACUAUUUUUUUUUCAAAGUUAGACUACUGCUACUGUCCAAAACUAUUUUAGUGCAGAAUGUUGAUUUCCAAGUUUAUAACACCCUUAUUUCCUUUUCUGUACAAUUUUUCGCAUCAUUUUCUCUUAUUUCUCUUAUUUCUCAACAGCAAGCAAUUUUGGAUUUUCACUAAAUCCCAUUUUCUGCGUUUCGGGUACACACCUGGUAUCGUUUCUGAUGCUAAGCACUCUUAAGCCUCCAGAACCUAAAAAUUGACCAAAAAAUCUCCAGAUUAAUCACUUAAUUCGUUUUUAAUCAACCAAUUUUGGAAGGAACUCAACUAAAAACCUAACAAAACCCUUACCUCGCUUGAGUAACCACAAAUUUGCACAAUCACAGUGUCGAUUCAAAACCACCAGCCCCUUGAUUAACUCCUAAACACCAAAAAGGAAUCCCCUUUUCAGAGAUUAACCAAAAACAAUUAACAAUAGACAAAAUCAUUACUUACCGAACACACAUAACCAACGAUGAACAACCAAAUCAAUUGGAAAAUAAAGAAAGAAACGGAAGGGGGAAAAUGGAAAUUUCAACAACAACUAGGAGAAACAAUCGGCAGAUGAGGGAAAAAAAGAAGAAAAUGUCAGAAAAAGUUUAGGUAAUUGGAGAGAAAACCAAAACUUUACUUUUUUUCUGCAACAGAAAGAUAAUUAGAUUAUUUUCUGAUAACCUCUCCCCCAUUAUCUCCUAAAAUCACUCCCUAUUAACCCACUAAAACACAACUACUCAGAAUUUUGCCCCAACACAACUCGUAGCUGAAAUUGGAGCAAAAAUAUUGUCUCCACACCAUCACAGAGAAUUGAACACAAAAUCUCCUUCACACCAACACUCCACUUAUCCACCAAACCAGCAGGCUCAUUUUGUUAAUUAUUUUCCAACUUUUACUUAAAAGCCUACUGACCAAAGAUAGGGCUUAUUCAUAAAAACACAAAAAUUUGCCCAAGUCCUGGCUUGAACUAGGAACCUCUCACACACCCAGAACACUUAACCACUGAAGCAGAUACAUAGUUGUGUCACACCUUCGCAAGAACAAACAUAAAAAUUCUGGGGCGUUACGUCGCUCCUCUUUAAAAAAAAUGAAGUUAAACUAAUGCAGUGGAAAAACUAUUUUUCAAGUCAUUUUGGAAAAUUAGUUGCCUUAUCGAUUUGUUUUUUAAAAAUAGUUCCUUUGCAAUGUAGUGGAAACUAGGGAACAAUACCAAAUUUUACUUAAGCCUGAUAUUAUGCAUUAUUCGGUUAUUAUGCUUGAGUAAUUCAUGUAUGUAAAAAUCCCCAAAAGAAAAGUUGCCAAGCCACAGACCAGAAAUAAUUAAAAAUUACAAGCCAAAACCAAUAAAGACUUAGUAAUACUGAAUAAAAUAAUAAUAAUCUGAGUUCCAAGUUGAUUCUCUGAAUGUCGAGCUCGGUCCUAAUUUUGAAGUUUACUUGAAAAGUUAAACACUAUUGGGGGUGAGCUUAUGAAAAGCUUAGUGUGAGUUGAAUAAUUAUUUAAACGGGCAAAAACAUCAAAUACAGUGAAACAUAUUAGUAUUAAUAGAAGAAAACAGAACCAUCAUAGAAAUUUCAUGUCAUUACAUAACCAUUAUCAAGUUGAUGUCAAACGGUGUAUGAGCAUAGGUCAUCAUUCUUCAAGUAACAAUCAUUAAUUUUGAUACCAUUUAAUACAACAAAAUAUAAUGCGUAGCAUAAAUCAAUAACAUUCGAAUAUGUCGUGAACAUGAUGCAAUGCAAAAAGGUUCCUACCCAUACCAUCCGCUACACACCACGAGUUGCUAAGAACCCGCCUGCCAAACUCCAAAAAAUUAUGAGCAUAGCUCGAUGUGGUAAAACCACCGAAUAAUCAAUAAUGCAGAAAAUUUGUCGGAUAUCAAAUAGUGCAAUACAAUCGCCAAUAACAUAUAAUAUGCGAUAAAAUCGCCAAUCCCUCGGUACUCCAGGUGCAGUGCACUGACUACGAAUAAUGUGGACUUAAUAUGCCGCCGGUACUCCACGGAACUCCUCCAUCAACCACAAAAUCCCAACCCAAUGCAUAUGCAAUAUGUCACACAAUCUCAUACAUAAUCAUAUCUCAAUACUUUUCACAUUCAUUUGACUGGCUCAACAUGUCCUCAAUAAUCACAUACUUUCAGUAAAUGGAAACAGUGUUCCAAUCUUUCAAAUUACCAUUAUGUUGGUAUCAAUCAAUAUCGUUCAAUUUCACAUACUUUACAGAUUUUCAUUGUGCAUUAAUAACACCCUUUUUCAGUAAACAAUAUAACAAAUAUCUCAUGCGUUUAAAUCAUACAUAAGCUUAAUAUCUCAGCAUAUUAUAUCAUUCAGUCAAACAUUCUCAUAUCUCAUAACUCAAAUAUGCAAUUACAAACUCAAUCAAACAUUCAUACUAUCAAACUAGGUUUUUUGCCAACAUGUCAAUCUUUUAAGGCUCGAAACAUACCUGGUUUGGCCACUCACAAAAUCAAUGCUUUAGGACCCACACCUUAUUUUUAAUAAGUCAAUCCAAUCAGCAAACUAAUUUAUCAAAUAUAACAUGAUAUUUAAUAUUUUCAAACAAUUUUAUGAGUUUAGGACCCACACCUUAUUUUUCGCUUUCUCGCAGCACACUAGCGAAUCUUCCAAAUUUCCUUAAUAAUUCCUUAAACGAACCUAAACCAAAAUUUAGUAUAAAUUCAAUCAAUUUAUCAUUAAACCAGCCCCCAAACACCCACUUAUGAAUUCAAACCAAUCGUUGAAAUUAUAACUAUUUUAUGAAUCCAAACUAGUUAGAUUCCUUACACUAUAUCGAUGCAAAUCGUACGUACAAUCGUUCUUCGCCUUUACAGAUAAUUUGGGGCAUUUGGAUCAGAACAUAAUUAAAUAAUAUACUAGAAAAUCAGUAGUUAAUUAAUGAUUAAGUUCCUUCAUUUAAUCAAUUCAUAACCUUUACCCAACAACUAUGUCGAAAUAACAAACUAGUUAUCCUUACUUGCACUUACGCUUCACGAUUUGUAGGAUCCGAUUGGCUAAUUGAUCAAGAACGUCUCUCCCUAAUUAACAUGGGUUUAAAAGCUAAUUAGGAGGGUUCAAGAACUCAAAUUAAGGCUGGAAUUAAUUGGGCAAGAUUCAAGAAACAAAUAGCCCCCUUUCUUGCACAUAGGCGCACGCACCACCACCUAUGGUGGCCAAAAUUGGGGCUAAAUUUUAAAACGAUUUGAGAUCUCAUUAAAUUCUGGAAAAAUACAUUUAAAAUAUAUUAAAAUCCCCCAAAUUCCAGAUCUAGAAAUUUAUAUUUUUAAUGGAUAUUAUUAAUUAAGAAAUUAAAGAGAGAAGAGACCUUACCCAAGCUAGUCGAGAAAAAAGGCAAUGGCACUUUCUUGGCAACGUUCGGGAUCGAUCUUGGAGUUCAAGAUUUCAUAUUUAGGGCUGAUUUUAAUGAGGAAAAAUGGCAGCAAUAUGGUGGAGAAUAUGUUAACAAAUCUUGUGGCAAAAAAAAGAAAAAGAAAAGAAAGUGAUGGUAAAACUAGGUGUAAGCGACAACAACAAUGGAGGAAAGGAAAAAAAAUUAAAAUCAAAGAGAAGGAGAGGAGGAGAGGAAUGGCUAGGGCAAUGAGGAGGAGGAUUAUAGGUUGAUUAUUAGUGGAAAAUUAAUAUUUAUAACUAGGUUAACUAGGCUUGGAUGGCCCACACAUUAAAAUAAGAGGUUUUUGUCAAAAAAUUAAAUUAUUUACAUGGAAAGAGAGUUAAAGUUAGGACCUCAAGGAUAAAUUCACUACUUUUUAACCAUCAAACCAAUAACUCAUUCUUGAUAUAAUUUGAAAUAUUUAUUUUUAAAAACAAGACAUAUCACAUACUAAGGUUUAAGGCAAAAUUUGUAAAAUAAUAAAAAUGGUGAGAGAGAAGUAAUUAACUUGGGUUUCAAGGAACAUUUCACUAACACUUAACCAAAAAACCAAUACCUCAUUUAUUUCCUAAAAAUACAUAGAUAAAUUUCAAAAAUUAAGGCAUGAUCACUCUCUUGAUUCACAAACUCGAUUCUACUAACUCCUGAUUUUUGGGAUGUUACAAUCACCAUCCACUAUUCACUAUUUAAAAUUAGUUACACUACACCAAAACAGGCUUUUAGUGGUGUUUUUAGUGGCGUUUGGAUAAAAAAUGCCGCUAAAAAUCAAGCAUUACUGGCGUUUUUAAGAAAACGCCACUAAAGAUCGAGUAUUAGCAGCGAUUUUUGAAAAACGCCGCUAUAAAUGAGCUUUAGCGGCAUUUUUGAAGAGGUGCCACUAAUACUCGGGUCUUUAGCGGCGUUUUUGAAAAAGCGCCGCUAAUGCUCGGGUCUUUAGCGGCGUUUUUGAAGAAGCAACGCUAAUUCUCAAGUCUUUAGCGACUUUUUUAAAAAAGCGCCGCUAAUGCUCGCGUCUUUAGUGGCGUUUUUAAAGAAGCGCCGCUAAUUUUCGGGUCUUUAGCGACGUUUAUAGAAAAACGCCGUAAAAAAUAUUUUAUUAUUUAUUAUUUUUUCCCCCUUCUUUUCCCAAAAUCGAUUCCCCCCACUCUUUUUCCCCCCAAUUCUUUUCCCCUACCCCGAUUCCCUUUAUUUUUCCCUCUAAUUUCCCCAAAUCGGCAACCCUUUUAUUUUUCCCAAAUCAUUUCUCCCCCUACCCCAAUUCCCUUUAUUUUUCCCCCCAAUUUCCCCAAAUUGGCAGCCCUCUGCAUCUCCUCAUCUUCUUCCUCACAUUUCAUUCGUCCCAAAAAACAUUUCUAUUCCUCUUUUAUACAAACAGAAAACAAUGGCUACACCGUUGCUUCAUCUUCUUCCUUUACCAUGCUUCAUUUAGCUUCAUUGUUCUCCAUUUUCGUAUUAGUUAACGCAAGAAUCCUCGGUGUUUACACUGGUGGAUUCUGGGAAACUGCUCAUGUCACUUUCUAUGGCGGCAAUGAUGCUUCUGGCACAAUAGGUAAGUAAAUUUAUUUCAUUAAACAAAAAAACCCAUUUUUAUUCGCUGCUCAAAUUUCACUAUCUUUUCUAUUCAAAUUUUGGAGGAGUGCCCUCGUACUGGGACAAUGAUUGUUCACUGGACAAAAAAGGUAGGUGAGAUGAAUGGUUUGUAUAAUAUUUUUUACUGAUUUUUUUAGAGUACUAAGCUUUAAAGCAUUUAAGAUACCUUUUUAUUUUAAUAUUCCAUUGAUUUGCUAGAUAUUUUGGUUUUUACAAAAGAAUGUUAUGCACAUAUAUGAAAAGUCCUCAUCGACGUCAGUCAGUAUGGUAUCACAAUUGUUUUCAGAUACGAAAAAAGGCACAGUAUUAUCCCUAUAUCCCUCUGCUUUCGUGUUAAAGAAGGAGAUCACGUUAUAAUCGGACAAUGCAAGUUUGUUGUUUGAUUGCAUUUUAUCCCUUCUACAAUCAACUGAUUUGCAUGGAUGGAUGCCUCAAAGUCUUCACCAACAAGCUACUGUAGUUUAUUACGAAAUUUCAACAAUAAAUAAAUCAGAAUGGUUGGUCACGAAGAGUCUGCUAAUAGAUAGAUGACUUCAAUUCUGUCAAAGUAAACAAAAUGGAUAUAUAACAUAUAGCCUACCACAUUUCUUAAUUAAAUAUUUAGUAAAUAUUUUUGCAGUCAUCAACUUGGAACAAAUAGAUAGAAACCAGAUAUAAUUCACUGCCAUGAUUUUAGACAGCUUUUGUUGUAUGAGAUUUUGGCCUCAUGUUUCUUUCGGCAUUUGAUUUAAUAUUCUGUUGACUGGUGUGUUUCUGACUACAUUUUUAGGCACCACUUUAUUGGGACUUGUAUGCUCCAAAAGGUUUAAAUUCAGCUCGAAUAUGUUUUACAUGCCAUAACUUUGAGUACCAAGGGACUACAUCUGCUUCAGAAUUGGCAUCAUGUGUUCUGGAUGCCCAGGAGUUAAAUAGACCUGAUAGGAUGCAAGAUAACACAGCACAUGAUAGUGUCAAUCCUGUUAAAGUGCUGUAAUCACUGGUUUGGCUAUAAGCCUAUAACAAAUAGAGUUUCUUUCUGUUCUUUUUUGUAAGUUUCCUUCUUUUUAGGGUGCAAUUGUGUUCUCUAACAUAGUGACGACAGUAUCACCCACUUAUGCACAAGAAGUCUGAAUUGCUGAGGUAAGAAUAUUUUGUAGUUUUUCUUUCAAGAACAUGGUCUUCCUUUUAUAAUUUUAAGGUUGAACUACAAAAUCAUGUCCCUAACUUUUCCAGGGAGGAAAAGGCCUCCAUUCAACACUGAAUUCUCACUCAAGAAAGUUCAUGGGAAUCUUAAAUGGGAUCAAUACUGAUGCAUGGAAUCCUGCCAGUGAUAAUUUUCUCAAAGUGCAGUAUAGUGCUAAUGAUAUGCAAGGGAAAGCAGAAAAUAAAGCUGCAAUGAGAAGGGAUCUAGUGCUUUCAUCUGCUGAUGAUCAAUGGCCAGUGGUAAUUUUAUUUCUGAAGUCUUUAUUUGUUAUAUCAACAUUGCUAAGAUGUAUUAUAUAUUCUCUAUGAAAGCUUUUGAGUUACAAUGUAAGUUUAAGGUCACAUUUAGGUUCCAAUAACACAGCAUUAUAGGAGGUUCUUAUUAUUUCUUAGCUGAAUACUGCCUAGAUUCUUACUCGAAGUCUUUUACUAUUGAAUAGGUAGGCUGCAUAACAAGAUUGGUGCCACAGAAAGGUGUUCAUCUGAUUAAGCAUGCCAUAUAUCGAACAUUGGAGAUGGGCAAUCAGUUUGAACUUCUUGGUUCAUGUCCAGUUCCCCACAUUCAAGUGAAUCUCUACUGCUGUUUUCUCUGUGUGAACAACGAAUUUCUUUCUGCUUGCAUGAAUGAAAGCUAUAAAAACAAUAAAAACUCUAUUCAGGCAUAUCAUUCCAUGCGGAGUUAUUUGUUUUAUUUUAAGUUGAUACUUUUCCUGUUCCAUACUUAGUACAUUGAGAUUUUCCUUUGCGUUAUUAAAUACAUUUAAAAAUUUGAGAUAAUCAUAAAUUGUGUUAUUAAAAUGUGCGUAAACUCUUUAGUCAAAUACAUUUAAAAAUUAGAAUACCUUUUUUAUAAUUAUAAAAAUGUAAUUAUUUACUGUGUCCAAAUACGCCAAAUAGCAAGUAAUACUUUUCUUUGAUUAUUUAUAUUUACGCCAGAUAAGUUGGAGUGUGUUUCAGAUAAUUCAAAUGUCAAAUUCUUUAGGAUUGAUCUACAGAAUAGUUCUCAGGUCAGCCUUAUAUCCUGGAUUCCAAAAGUGUUAACGUGGAUUUUCUUUCUUGAUGUUAUACAUAUAUAUGUUAUUCAAUAAUUUUUUAAAGGACCUGGAUUUAUGGUAUAUCUUUCCCUUUCCACUAAUUUCUUCUACUUUAAUUGUUACUAUGAGUGUUGUAUGCAUAUGCUUUUUUUUUUCCGUCUUUCUUUAAUAGUUAGACUGAUUAUUGUUACUAUGAGUGUUAUAUCAAUUUUGAUACCCUUCUGUAUCAUGAAGUUUGUUAUCUGACAAAAGAGAUGAGAAUUUGGGAGUCAAGUUAUAAUUUAAUUUAUUAAUGAAAUCUUCAGUGCUCAAUUUAGGGAUUUAUUGAUGUUUUGCUUGUAUGAUUUUAUGAAUCUUGUGCACACAAGUUUCUUAUCUGAACAUAAGAGAUGAGGAUUUGGGAGUCGAGUAAUAAUUUCAUUUAUCAAAGAAAUAUCAAUUGAGCAUGUGCCAGUUUAUAAUUGUUGUAAUAUUUAUCAUUCAGCAGAUAUUUCCUUUAUUUUGUUUGAUUUUUUUUAUACUUUCCAAUUAUUUUCCCUUGGUUUAAGACUUUAAUUGGCGGCAUGAAUCUGUUAGCAUUAUACUUAAGCUUAAGUUAAUAAUGGCAUUUAUCAAAGAAAUGAUUCUUGGGAUAUAAAGCUGGAAUGACCCAUAUAGUGAGGGAGGUUGAAAAGCCUAGUUCAAGUAAUUUUUUCUCUUCUGACCCAUCAUCUGUAAAUUUUGGAAUACUGGAUAGUCUGUUGCUUAUCUGCUGCUAUAUGAAAUAAAACCAUGUGCCUUUUAUGUGCUUUCUUGCAUUGUUUACUUUCCUCCAUGGUUAGGUGGAUAGCAUAAUGUAUUUAUAUGUUCUUUUCUUCCAGAACUUCACAAGAAGGAGACAUGUGAAGCAGUUACUAUCAUUGAGACACCACCGAUGUAUUUCGGCUUCUUAACCUUAUAGCUCACCAUUUAACACUUGCUAAUAUGAUUUUCUUUUGAUGAUCGUCGUCUUAAUUUGUUUACUGCUUUUGUUCAUAAAUUUUAUCAUAUAUUAAGAUUCGCCUGUAUGCUUUAAAACAAUUCUAAGCUGGCUCCAGUUUAACUACUCUGAAAACACGGAGAGGAGCAACAGCAACAGAACCAAGUAGAUAUUUCUUUCAAUGGCUGGAAUUGCUACUACUUGUUAUUAUUUGACCCUCUCUUCUACAAGGUAAACUUCUUUUCUUCUCAAAUUUGCUUAAUUUCGAAACCUGAUAUUUGGGUCUAUUGUUUGGUUUCUGAGAAAAUUAGAAUGCUCCAAUAUUGAGCUUUAUUUUGAGUUUGGAUAUGCUUUAUUUUUGGUUUCUGAUAUUUGAGUUUGCUUUAUUUUGGGUCCAAAUCUAAAUUGUUACUCGUAUGUCAAGAGGGGCUGAGGUUAGUUCUUACCAUGCUCUAGAUAUGCUUGAUUUGCAAUCUGAUUUAUUAGUAUACAUCCGUAUCCGAUUCAUUCUAGAUCCGAUUAAAAGCUAUUCUGCAUUGAAUAUACUCAACUGAUGAAUGGUCUGAAUUUAUUUCGAUGCCCUUAUCUUCAUUUUAGCCUCAAUGUGAGUAAUCAUUGAUGGAACUGAACUUCUUUUUAAAAUGUGAAGGUCUACUGCUGUUGCCAAUAAAUUGGAGCAAGCUGGUUUCCAGAAUAUAGCUGGUGAACUAGCUUCUUCCAUGUCUUUAUUAAUUCUUGGUUUUGUUGAUUUCAUUUUUAAAUUAGUGGUGUUUUUCGAAAUCUGGGUUAAAUUAUUAAGUUCUAAAUUUUUUAACAAUAGGUUCUUUGUUUUCUUAAGCAGGGAUGAUGAAGAUGAUUCUGUUGCCAAGAUGAAGGCAGCUGAGGAAGCCUUGGAAACAAAACAAAAAGUAACAAAUAGCUUGUCUGCUACCUGUUCUUUUUUUUUAUAUAAUUUUGUGACAAAUUGUUCUUGGUACUCUAAAGAUAUUUAUGCAAUAUUAUCCUAUGAUUCUAUUGUAUUUAUAUUGCAUGGCUGCACCAUGUAUUUCUUAACUAGUUUGAUAAAUUUUAUGUGUGUGGUUUAAUUUUUUGUUUUGCUGUGUAACUUGCAGCAAAAACCUACAUUUGAGCUAUUUUUCUAUUGUUUAUUUUAGUUUUGAUUUUAAAUUUUUAUUUUUACUUUAAUAUUACGACAACUUGAGUUCUAACUUUUGAAUUUUAAUUGUGUUAUUAAUUUAUUAUUUUAAAUUCUAAAACUAAAUUCAUUAAUUUUUAUAUUUAAAUUUAAAGUUAAAAUUUUCAUAGAAAAUUUAAUUUAAAUAAUAUUUUUUAUUUAUCCUUAAAAAGUAUAUUUAAAGUUCAAAUUUAAAAAAUAAAACAUAAUAUAAUAUUUAUCAUAAAAAUAAAUAUUAUUUGAUUAAAAUAUUUUUUUUAAAGAUUAUGUUUUUAGCGGCGUUUUUGCUAGAAGCGCCGCUAAAGGUUUGUCUUUAGCGGCAUUUGUGAUAAAAGUGCCGCUAAAGGUUGUGGUAUUUAGCGGCGUUUGUGGGAAAAGCGCCGCUAAACGUCGUGGUCUUUAGCAGCGUUUGUGGGAAAAGCGCCGCUAAAGGUCUUGGUUUUUAGCGGCGUUUAUGGGGAAAUUGCCGCUAAAGGUCGUGGUCUUUAGCGGCGUUUGUGGGAAAAGCGCCGCUAAAGGUCUUGGUCUUUCGCGGCGUUUUUUCUAAAAACGCCGCUAAAGUUAGCAAUGCGUUCUUUAGAGGCGUUUUUUCUGGGGCUUCUCAAAGCGCCGCAAAUACUUUUAGCGGCGCUUUUUAGCACCACUAAAGUCCUAAAAAAGCGUCGCUAAAAGCCUAUUUUGGUGUAGUGUUAAUUAACUAUUUUGGUCCUUUGGAUAAUUGCUAUCUAAGUCCUCAAGCAUUUUCUUAAUUAAAACUUAAUAGCGAUUAGACUUUUACAAUUUACUCUCUGAGCUUUAAUUAACUAAUUUCUCGGUUAAAUUCUUAACUAAACUUUAUUAUAUUUUCAUAUUAAUUACAUAAAUAUUUUUAUUUUAUAUUUAUAGACUUGGUUCACGGCAAUGAGAUUUCGAAACCAUAUUGUUCGACACCACCAAAAUUCGAGUUGUUAUAAGAAUUUUAACUAUAAAAUAGGUUUUAGAACUUUAAAUCAAAUCAGAUUUUGAAUUUAUUUUAGAUUUUAAGUUUAACUAGACUCUAGACUUAAAUUAGUCUAACUAGAUUUGAGAUUUUAAAAAUUUAUCUUAGUCAUUUUUUAGUCAAAUUUUAGGCCUAUACUUUUCAGUUAGGAUUUAGAUUUAAAGUUUAUAUUUAUAGUCCAAUUAGAUUUUAAGUUUAUUCAGUUCAAAUUUGAUUUUUAGUUUAAACUGAAGUUUUAGAAUUAUGUUUCAUACUUUUAGAUUUUAAGUUUUAGAUUUAAAUUUUUUAGAUUUAGAUUUUAGGUAAAUUGAUUUUGCUAGGUUCUAAAAUUUAAGUUUUAAGUUAAAUUUUAAGUUUUUAUUAGCUUUUUUAAAAAUAUUUUUAGAUGCCUUGGUUCGUUUAGAAUUUAAUUAGAUUUUAAAAAUUUAGUUGGAUUGUUAUAUGUUUAUAGCUUAAUUAAAUUUCAAGUUUAUUUUUAUUAUUAGAUUUUUUUUAGUUCAAUUUAGGCCUUAAAUUAAGAUUUUUAAUUAAAAGGCUAGAUUUAAAUUAGAUUAGAUUCUAAAGUUUGAUAAAUAAGGUGCAAUUAGAUUUAGAUUUUUAUGUUUAAUUAGAUUUAAGUUUUAAACUUAGAUAUUUGAGUUUAACUAGAUUUUAGUAUUGUUUUAGAGUAGAUUGUUUAGAUUGGAGUGAAGGGUAGGAAUUUAUUUUUGGAAACCUUUUCUAUAUGUAACUGUACUUCCGAACUCAGAUUUGGUAACAAUAUCGAAUUGUAGUUUUAAGAUUAAUUCCUUAAAUUUAUCUUUGGAUUAGUCUUGAGACUUUAGUCGAUAAGUAGUUAAUCGACCUAGCUCACAUGGUUAGUGGCGACUCUACUCCAUUAGUUUUCUAUGUCUAGCGUGCUAGAUCCUAAGUCUAGCAUGUCAUCACAAUAUAAAUGCUUAGCAAAUUGUUCAAGUGAUUAUUUGAUAACUAAUAUUCAAGAUUGAAAUAUGUAGAUUUAGAGAAUGUAACACCCCAUACUCGGCCUAAACGUUAAGAUCAAGUCUUGAGGCUACAUUAAAACGUUUAAGGGGAACCAACCUUUAAGUAUUUUAAGAUUAGUCAUAUAGAAAACAUUUAACUAGUUAGACCACAUGAAAAUACGAACUUACAAACCGUAGUCUGAAAUAAAACAUACGUUAGCUCAAAUUUAAAACAAACAAUAAAAUAUCUAGAAAAGAGAGAUGAUCGAGCUCCUAACACGUCAAGCCUCCUAAGUUUGUGGGCUACCUACAAUUCUGUCAACAAAUAGAAUGAGUUUAUAACUCAAUGUGUGUAACCGAUAUAUAGGCAAGAAUAAUUGUCAGAUCAAUAUGCGAUAAAUCGCCAGAAUCAGAUACAGAAUUGUGGCUUAGCCACUCAAUUUGGCAGAUCAUUAAACUGCCAGCACUUCCUUCGUUAUACUAUUCUUACCCAAUGCAGAUGCAGAUUACAGAUAUCAGAUAUCAAGAAUGUUCAUACAGUUAUCCAAAUACAAUUCAUAAUCAGAUAAUACAGAUCAUUAUCACUUAAUAGUUAUCGCAACAAUUAUACAUACAGAUAAUCGAUUAUUUAAUCUCAAAAAAAUUGGAUAUCAAGCUAUACAAUCUAAUUUAGAUUAUAUGGACCCUAUGGAAGGCCUACGAUCGAUUCGAACGACGCUUAAGGCCCUAGGGAAAUUUUAAGUAUUUUGGUCCACAAGCCCAUAUGGAUUCACAAUGCCUGAGUACCUAGCUCGUGUGGUCCACACGGCUGUAUGGCUUAAACUAGUGACUUACAUGGUCUAGCACACGACCAAACACACGCUCGUCUGACUCACAACCCCACACAUGGCCUAGACACACACCUAUGUGCCUAGUCCGUGUGACCAAAAAUACAAACAGUGAGUUCCACGGCCUGGACACACGCCUAUGUCCUUAGCCAGUGUGACCAAAAAUACAAAUAGUAAGUUACAUGGCCUGGACACACAUCCGUUCGCUGUGUACCUCCAAUUUAAAAACAAUGAGUUACAUAGCCGUGUGGCGUCAAGAACCAAUUUUUUGGUGUUCGAAAAUUACAGAAUCUUGGGUUUUCAUUACACACCUGGUAUGAUUUUGACGUAGAAGGAGUAGAGGUGACCUCGAAACCUAAAAGUAGCCAUCAAUUGUCCAAUUACACGGUUUAGUCAAACUACUAGGCUAAUUAAACAAUCAACCGAAACAUGUCGAAAACUUCGACGCAACCCAACUAAAAAAUAUACACUCACCCUUGUACAAAUAGCAAUAUGCGAAAUUAACUCGAUGGAGAGACGAUGUUGUCACAAUCCUCGCCUAAAGGAAAACAAAUCAAAACUUAAACCAAAGAAUUCAAGCAACCAAGAAACUUACUUCGACAAAAUGGACAAACAAAUACCAACAGACAUUCAUAUCAACUUACACAAUUAUCACGACAAUUGAAUACAACGAAAGAUGAAGUUUCCUCAUCGUAACAACAACAAAAAUAUGGUAACACACAAGGGAAGAAAAAGAAAGAAGAAAAAAAGGAGAGAAAAAUAAGAAAAAGAAAAUAGGGGAGGAAGAAGGAGAAAAAAACAUCACAGAAUUCAAUUAACUUUUAAAAUAAAAACUAACUAUCCUAAUGGUUAAUGACCAAAAUAUUUCCUUAUUGCUUGCACAGGGACUCAAACACAGGACCAGAAAGUAUACAUAAACUUAAUCAUUGAACCAACAAGCUCAUUCUUGACAUAGAUUAACGUAGAAUUAAAUUGAAGUCGAGAGUUCAAAGGUAAGGGUUAAGUAAAAAUAAAUAGAGAAAUUUCAAAAAACAAUGCUCGAACCCCCGAUCUCAAACACAUAAACAGAGCACUUAACCAAAGAUACAGAAACUUAAUUAUUGACAAAAUUUAUCAAACAAAUGUUCAAAUUUUGGGGCAUUACAAAGAAAUUAUGUGAUGAUGUUAUAAGAGGAAGUAAAUACACACUGUACCUUUUUUUCCCUUAAUUGAUUUUUUGUCCCAUUAGAUUUUUUUGGUAAAAUUUUUAAUGAGGUAGCAUGUUAUGUGUAUUAUAGAUAUGUGUACUAGUUUUCCUUCAUUAAGAAUUUUUUCCCACAAAGUUUUUAUCUUAUUAAAUUUUAACAAGGCACAUUAAGGAAUUAUGUGGAUAAAUGCAGAAGUGGGUCGUAAAGUUUUUCAAAGUCACGGAUUUGACCUAUGGCUUUAGAUGUUCGGAAAGAAACUGAGAUUUUAACACAACCUGAAACGCAAUCAAAAUUCAAGUUAGAUAAAACUAUUAAAAAAAUUAAUUAAGAUAAUUAAAAUAGAAUAAUAAAUCUACAAUUAGAACAAUAAGGAAUAAAAUAAAGAAGAUAGAUGGAAAGAUAAAGCGUGGUAUGUAGAAGUCUUAAGAAGUCUUGGAAACACGAAAAAUCCACAACCCCCUUUAAGCGGCUCUAAUUUUCCCUCUAAUAAAAAAACUUGGCAAGAAAAAGUUUGAAGAUGAUUCCCACAAUCUGAAAAGAUUGUUAAAACUCUUCUAAAAGAAACUCAAGAAAAAUGCUUAAAAAGAAAACUCAAUGAGAAUUUAUUAACUCAAAAGAGAAGUUGGAUAAUAAUGAAUUGUAUAAUUUGUGUACAAUGCAAAGUCAUAUAUAUAGGCUAGCUAUAUAAAUCUAAAUAAAACUCUUAAGUAUACUAAAAUUCUAAUUAAUCUAAACAAGAAGUAGUUUUAAACUAAAUUUUCUUGUUAACAUAAAACUCGUAAAUAACUUAAACUACUUAAUAAUUAUUAAAAUUUUGGAAUAAUAAAAUAAUAAAAUAAUAAGAGCUGAUAAAUACAAUAUUGGGCUCAUAUAUAAUAAAAAUUAAGUCCAAAACUCGUAAAUAACUUAAACUACUUAAAAAUUAUUAAAAAUUUGGAAUAAUAAAAUAAUAAAAUAAUAAGAGCUGAUAAAUAAAAUAUUGGGCUCAUAUAUAAUAAAAAGUAAGUCCAAAACUCGAACCCAAUAUGAUUUAAACUCGAAUUAAAAGCCUAAAACUCGUAAUUCCUGUCAUAAUCAUGUCUAGAAAUUCUACUCGUGCAUUCUUUAUAAAAAUAACUUGAGCUCUCGAACUCGAAAAUUGAGUGAUUCAAAGUGCGUUUUGAAGCUAAGAGAUAGAUCCUAUAACACCAUGAAGACAUCUCAACCCAGAAAUGUCUGGAUUCCAUCCAAAAAGUCAUCGCAAGUCUGUUGAAUUCCCAAGCUUGAAAAUUGGCAACUUUGGUGAAUGGAAUUAAAUAAAUUUUACCCCAUCCGUGCAUGUAUCAUUCCCCCUUUCCUCGAAAUGAUUUGUCCUUGAAUCUUGUUUUUGAUCAAAUCUUGAUUUGGUUUUCUUGGCCUUUGACAUUCUUGUUGGGCCUUGAGGUAGUGUGAGCCCAUUACAUCCAUGGUUCUAAAAUUGAGCAUUGAGACUCGCAUUAUCUACCCUUUUCCUCAAGAAGAUUCGUCCCUGAAUCUUUAGUUGCACAAAAAGAAAAUGGAUUGGAAAAUAUAAUAAUAAAAUGAAAAAAAUACUUACCUAAAUUUUCUUGUGUGUCAAAACUAUCUCCAAGAUCAAAAAUAUGACCAAAUUAGCAUGGAUCAAAUAUCUCUCCUUCAAAAACAAACCAUCGACACUAAAUAAAGAAAUAUUAGGCACAUGAGUGUUCAAAUAAAAAAUAACUUGUAACUUUCUUUGAAUAUACAUGGUCAUCCAUAAGAAUUUCCAACGAUGAGUCAAUAAUUUCACAUAAUUAUAAAAAUCAAGAAUGUUAAGAUUGUGUAAAAAUUCAUCGUUAAAGGUCAAGAUAGAAAAUUUUGUUGUAAGAGAAAAUAUAUAAAAUGUUUUAGUAAACCUAUCUAGUGCAACAUAAUUACUAUUUUUAACCUUUACAAAUCUAGACAAACCCAUAAGAUUAAUUGAACUUUCAGACCAAGGUUUAAUGAAAUUUGACCAACGAGAAAGCAUGUCUUAAGGAAAAAAAUCAAUAGCAUACUUAUCAAAAACAUUUAUUGUAUGUCUUCUUAAAUCAAUUUCUAAUGUUUCCUUACCUUUCUUACCUUGUAGCACUUGUGGAGAAUUAUUAAUAUUUAACUUACCUCUCUCCCACAAGUAAAAGUGUCAAUCGAGGUUAGAGUAAUGUAAUUGGAAGUCCGUUAAUGGAUCCUUAAAAUCAUGUGACAAGGAAAUACCACUAGAUAAAUUCGAGUUAUGGUUAGUUAAAAUAUAAUCAUUCCUCACUUUUGCAGGAAUAUUUUCUUGUUUUUCAUUUUCUUUUCCCACUUGAGAACUCUCCAAUUUUACCUCAUAUGUAUUGUUACUCGCCAAAAGUGGACCAUCAAGUAGACUUUUAUCACUCAAGAUCUCUUUUCUCUCUAUCUUUUCAAUUUUUUCUUCCUUACUUCCCAUAUCCCCCUCACAAGUAUUACGAAUAUUCAAUUCAAUACAAUACAUCUUAGUAGGAGAACAUGACAUUUCUAUCUCAUCUAACUUAAUAGAUUCAAGGAAAAAAUCAUUACAAUCAUCUUUUUAGGAUUCACAAAGUUUGCCAUCAGAAAUCUAUUUUCCACUAGAGUAUGAGUCAACAAAAGGUAUAAAGUCAUACUUACUUUCUUCUCUAGUUGGAUAUUUAAUUAGACAUUGGAAACCCUUAUGAUCUUUUGAACUACACCAAUAACAUUGCACAAAAGGUGAUAUUUCAAUCGUAUUCCUCUAUUUGAAUAUUUAAUUGGACAUUGGAAAGCCCUAUGAUAUUUUGAACUACACCAAUAACAGUGAACAAAAGGUGAUAGCUCAAUUGUCUUCCUCCUUUUGUUUGGCCCUCUCCCCUUGAAUUGACAAACUAAUUUAUGAUCACCUUAUGAUCCCCUUGAGACUCGCAUCACACAUUAUCUAUUAAUAGUGUGAUGAAUAAUUUAUUAUUAUAAAGUGGAUGUCCAUUAGAAUAAAAAGUUUGAUGUACUUUAAGACACUAAUAUCCAUUAAGAAUAAAUUUUAUAUCAUUUAUAUUUCUUAUAUACAUAAAUAUUGACUUUAAAGAAGUAUUAUAAAUAUUUCUAUUGAUGAAUACAUACUUUUCUUUUGUUAUCCUAUUUUUUUAUUAUGUUAGUUACUAUGUUUUAUAUUUUAUAGCAAGUUUGAGUUUUUACCCCAAACUCAAUAAAUACAUUGGCAAAAUUUAGCUCAAGAAUCAUCUAACAACCCAAUCAUGUUAGCCCAGAACAAUAAAUAUAGCUCACCCAAAAUUUAGGACAACUGUAGCAUCUAGUUGGCUUCCCUACUUUGUAGCUUAUGCAAACAAAGGAGUGGACUCAGUAGGAAUAACAAUUCAUGUGUAAAAAAAAUAAUUAAAAACAUUUUAUGGGAGAAUAAUACAACUGUUAGCAUAAGGAUCCAUAGGAUAUUUUUUUUAUUUAAUAGUAAGUAUAGAUAGAUUAAUAGACUGUGAUAUUAACAAAAGCUAAUUUUUAUUUUGGUAGAAUAGUUUGCAAAGGAACUUAUUAUUGCCAUAAAUUUAAUAUAAGUUGAUACAUGAAUUGAAUAGGCGUUAAGCUUCCCGCCCACACCAUCAAAGACCUCUAGUCUUUAACAAUAAACACACAAAUUCAUGGGAUUUAAAUAAUCUAAAAAGGAAAAAAGAAGAAGAUAAAACUGCAAGCCAAGUGGAGCACGACCAAUUACUUAAAAAGCAUGUUUGUUUAACUUUAAGCAGCAACACUAUGGAGCACAACAGUCUCAACAGUGAGGCCAGGUCCAAACCCAAAGAGCACUCCCCACUCCAACCCUUCUCCUGUGGUCUGAAGCCCAUCUUCCCUUGAUUUCUUCCUCAUCUCAUCCAAAAUAAAUAGAACACAAGCACUUGACAUGUUACCAUACUCUGAAAGAACGUGCCUUGUGGCUCGUAGCUUCUCUGGCUUCAGUGCUAACUUGGCUUCUACCUGAUCUAAUAUUGCUGGACCACCAGGAUGAGCAAUCCAAAAAAGGGAGUUCCAAUCGGAUAUCCCCAAUGGUUGAAAUGCUUCUACCAGGCUCUUUUCUAUAUUCUUCGAAAUAAGCCCCGGAACAUCCUUAAGAAGGUGAAAUGUAAGCCCAACUUCACGAAGGUGACCAUCAAUUGCACCAUCACUAUCUGGCAAGAUCGUUUGGGCUGCUGAGACUAGUUCAAACAUGGGCUUCUCGAUUUCGGGCAUGGGGUCUGCCCCGAUUAUAACAGCUGCGGCACCAUCACCAAACAAUGCUUGGCCCACAAGACUGUCUAGGUGAGUGUCACUAGGUCCACGGAAGGUAACAGCGGUAAUCUCCGAGCACACAACAAGUACACGAGCACCUUUGUUGUUCUCAGCUAAGUCCUUAGCCACUCGGAGCACCGUCCCCCCUGCGAAGCAACCUUGUUGGUACAUCAUGAGGCGCUUAACGGACGGGCGGAGGCCCAAAAGCUUGGUGAGCUGGUAGUCAGCCCCAGGCAUGUCCACACCACUAGUGGUGCAAAAGACAAGGUGGGUGAUCUUGGACUUGGGCUGGCCCCAUUCCUUAAUGGCCUUGGUGGCUGCUUCUUUGCCUAGCUUUGGCACCUCAACUACCACCAUAUCUUGCCUAGCAUCCAGUGAAGGAGCCAUGUAUUCACAUACAUUGGGAUUCUCUUUCAAAAUCUCUUCUGUAAG